UUGAAGUAGUUCAACACAUUGUUGUACUUAGAACAGAUUGUGGCACUAUCCGAGGUAUUUCUGUGAGUCCUCGAAAUGGGAUGAUACCGGAAAGAAUUUUUAUUCAAACAUUAAUUGGUCGUGUAUUAGCAGACGAUAUAUAUAUGGGCCCACGAUGCAUCGCCAUUCGAAAUCAAGAUAUUGGGAUUGGGCUUGUCAAUGAUUCAUAACCUUUCAAGCACAGACAAUAUUGAUUCGACCCCUUUACUUGUAGAGCACAUCUGAUCUCUCGACNNNNNNNNNNNNNNNNNNNNNNNNNNNNNNNNNNNNNNNNNNNNNNNNNNNNNNNNNNNNNNNNNNNNNNNNNNNNNNNNNNNNNNNNNNNNNNNNNNNNAAACGCUCUUUAAUGGAACUUUAGCUUUAGCUGGUCGUGACCAAGAAACCACCAGUUUCGCUUGGUGGGCCGGGAAAUGCGUAGAGAUCGGAAAGAACACCAAUAGCGAAAGCACUCUACUAGGCCGACACUGACACUGAGAGACGAAAGCUAGGGGAGCGAAUGGGAUUAGAUACCCCAGUAGUCCUAGCCGUAAACGAUGGAUACUAGGCAUUAUGCGUAUCGACCCGUGCGAAAUCAAGAAGAAAAAGAAUCUGCAAGACAAGUAGAUCUUGGAUCAAAUGUACAAAACCAAGGAAAUCUUGAAUCAGUCCUCUCAAACCACGAAAAAGAUAUUGAAGAAGAUUAUGCAGGAUAAGAUGUUGGGGAUAAAUGUAUGCCCAAGAUCCAAUCUAUCAUGUAAUCAACUUUAGUUUUAAUAAGGUAUUAAUUCUUUAUUUCAUUAUCAUAUUUGUUUAAAAUAGUUUAUAUGAUAAGGUCCUUGAUUAAAAUUUGAAAAUUGUUAUCAUGAUAGAGAUUAUGAUAAUGAGAAGCAAUUCUUUUAAUAAUUUUAAUCUAAACUGUUCUUGAUCAUAGGAUUAUUGUCAACAGGACAUCAAUAAUCCAGAUAGAUCAAUAUAUAUGUGAUGGUCUUUAUUGGAUAAAGAUUGAUAUAUCUCAUUUGUUAAAUUACAUAUAUAGAUGAUGCACAUGUAGAUGUGAUCAUUGAACUGACUCAACUGAGAAUUUCUAAUGGUUAUCUUUACCUUAAAUUGUCAAUAGGAAUUUCUCAAGAAGAAAUAUAAUAGUUUUCUUUGACCUGAGAUUAUCAAAGUAAUUAACAAGUUAUUUAUUAUAUUUUAAUCUCGGACACCUAAUGCCUUAGGGCACUAGUUGAAUGGAUAUUGGAUAUAAUUAAAUACUUGUAGAAUUAAUGAUUAAUCAAGAAGGAAUCCAUCAACUCGUGGUAAUGAGUUUGAGCUCUAUGAUAAAAAUAAGACCUUGGCCAAGGGCAAUUGAAUGAAUGAAGAAAUGAGUUUCUUAAGUCAUUCACUAAAUAAAUAAUGUGUUGACUUAUUAGAGUUUGACAGUAAUACCAUACUCUAGAGUUAGCCCAGAGCUGUAAAUGAUGGAAGGAAAUAUUACAUUAUUCUUCUACCGGUUCUUGAAAGUAAAAGAUAUUACUUCAUACUAUCUGGACGUUAAGGAGUGUUGCUAGACACCUACCUUAAUUAGUAAAUUGAUUUGAUUAAUUUACUACCAGCUUAGUAAUGAACCUACGGGGUCACACACAAACGAGUGUUUUAAUCUUUGCAAAGAACUAUUUAUUAUUAUUUGAUAAUUAAAUUAGAGAAUUUAAUUUUAAUCAAAUAAAUAAAUAUGUUCUAUGUGGAAUAUUAUUAUAUUCUUUGCUAGCACCAAGAAUAUAAUUAAUAUAUAUAAAAAAAAUAAAUAAAUAAAUAAAAUAUUUUUCUUUGGACGUGGAAGUUAGUCCACGAGAAUGUUUGCUAAACAUUUGCAAACAUAUGGGUACAUGCAGCAACUUACAGGAGGGAUGUGGGUUUUGUUUUUAACUUACAAGACUUGGUCAAAGUGUUUUUCAAAUGCUAUUGAAAAUAGCAAAAGAAAAAACAAAUGGACCAAUAGAAUCUCUUAGUAGCCCAAAAAAGGAGGACACGAUAGAGAUAGAUUAAGUGAUAAAAUCAAAAAUCAAAUUAGUUGAGUUAUCUUAUCACUUAAAACAGAAGUUGUAUCGGAUAUGCUAUAUAGCAUAUAUACACAAUCUGAAUAAGGAUCGAUCUAUCUUUAUCCUCCUUGUUUUUACGCCAAAGAAAUACAAAGUGUUGUUCUAUUUUUUUUAAGUUCCGCGUAUCAAAGGGUUGAUAGCAAAGAUUAAUUUCGGUGUGGAUACACGUAGAGUCUUCAUACAAUUGGAGAAAAUUUUAUGCUUGAAGAACUGAUAUCCAGGUUAUUAUUUUAAAUUUUUUGAUAGCUGCAGUAUAUAUUUUGAAUGCAAAAUAGAUCAAUUUUCCGCUGUAUGUGUUAUAAAUUUAUUUUAUAACCUUUCAUCAGACUCAGACAUGCAAAAACGUACAAAGAAAAAAGCAAUUCAAGAAUCACACGGAAGCAGAACUCGAUUUAUUCCUAAAAAGAUAUUUGAUUUUUCAAUUGAGAUGGGAUGAUUCUUUAAAUAAAAAAAUGAUCAAUAAUAUCAAGGUAUAUUGUCUCUUGCUUAGACUGAUAAAUCCAAGAGAAAUUUGUAUAUCAGUUAUCAAAUUGUAAAUUCACAAAUAAAUUAUGAUCUUAUAAUAGGUAUAAAGUCAUCAAUAAAAUUUUUAAAGUUACAAAAUUUUGAAAAAUGUCAUGAUUUAUCAUUAUGUCAAUAAAAGGAUGAAAGUGCAUCAUAAUUUCAACACUUUUUUUUUAUUUGUUGGAAGAUAGUCUUUCUAUUUUCCCUUUUUCUUUCAAGAGUUCUAAUUUUCUAGCACAAGACUAGAAGGACAUGCAUGUGAGCUUGCCGAGAGUUUUGCACUUGUGAAAUCAAAUUGGGUUAAAUAUAUAUAUAUAUAUAUAUAUAUAUAUAUAUAUAUAUAUAUAUAUAUAUAUAUAUUAUUUUUUGUUUCUAAUUAAAUGCAUGCAUCCACAUACGAAAGAUCCAUGUGUAGUUAUUUUUAGGGAUUUAUUUCAUGUUUUCUCUAAAUCUAACCCAAUAACAUAUGCACAAUAGAGAAAAGGUAUUCUUGAAUAUACUCCCUCUUUCUCUCUCCGGUAGAGAGAGUUGUGAAAGUAUUUAACGUCAUCCUUAAAGAGAAAUUAAACAUAUGAAAACUAUUUAAUAUAAGGUUUUAAUUGUUAUAUCUAUUAAAGUUGUUCAUCCAAAUUAUUCAAAGUACGUAUCUCUAUGGACUUGCAUGUUCACAAAUUUUGAAAGGUUUAUACGACAAAUUAUAAGUAUUUAAAAUAAAUGUUGUGAUGUUUGAUAAAAUACACUAUUGGGUUUUACAUAUUCAAACAAUCAAUGAUCACCACAACCAAGGAAAAAUGUGUUCAUAAUUUAAACUUGAUCUUUUUAUUUUUGUAGCAUGAAUUAUUCAGAAUCCACAAGGUCACACGACAUCAAGAGUGAAAAUAAUACACAACAUUCUUGCACACAAUUAAUUGAUGCAUGUUAUUUAUUUUUUAUUCAUUAUAUAUGUGUACAAAACAUACACAAACAUUACGGAAAGAUGAAAAAAUUACAGAAGCAAACAUGAGCUGCAACUCAGUUUAUUCCCAUGAUUUUAUGACAUAUGAUAGUUAUACUUGGUGCAAAUGACUAGUAAGAAUUUCUGAAAUCUGGUAGUGGCCAUGGUGAAGCUUCAUUUGUGCUUAGUAGCCAUGACAACCGGAGAGGUGGAGGGUGGGCUUGGCCGAGGGGGAGGCAGGGCGUGGCUUGCAAAGUUCUUGUUGAUCAUGCAAGGGGGGCCUUUGCCGGGAAUUCGGGUGCAUGGACUUGGGGCAGAAGGAGAAACUGGACCCGCCUGCAGAGACUGCAAGACAAUAUUAAUUCUUUUCUUCUUCCACUCUUUUUUCUCUCCAUUAGGAACCCUACUAGCAUGGUGUGGUUGGACACUCAGAAGAAAAACAACUGCAGUGACAGCUAAAACAGUGGUGAGAGACCUCAUGAUCUUGGUGGGGUUUAAGGUAAGACACUAGGAGAUAUGGAAUUAAUAUGAUAUCUGGGAUGAUAUGCAUAUGUGGAGGAGAUCAUAUUAAUUGCUAUUUAUAAGCAUAUGCAAAUGAUACCCAAUGUUAUAACUUUGAUUUUCCAUUGUUUCAUUUGUGUGAAAGGGUUUUUUUAGCUCUCGGAUACAAGGGUUUUGCCACGGCAUAGACUAGAAAUUGAGAAGGUCAUAAAGAUACUAGGUUUGAAUUACAUACAAUGACAAAGUUUUCAUAGGUCAUUAAUUGUAAGCAUCCGCCAUCCCAAAAAUUAAUUAAUUAAUUAAUUAAAAAAUUUACUGUUAUUAAAUACAAUGAUAAUUAUGAUCUUUGUAAAAAUAAAAAUAAAAAUCAAUUAAAUAAAAAAUAUCUACUUCCCACUUCAAAAUACAAUGGAUUGUUAUGUCUGUGAAUUGUUGCUUCUUCAAAAUACAAUGGAUGAUAUUGAAAUAUUUAAAAGCAUGACUUCAAUAAUUUAGCUUAUUAAUUAACCUGUAACAUCAUACUUUUGCAUGAUGUUGCCCCACCGAAUAAUUUAGCAGCAUGACGGCCACCAAAAUCAUUUCCUAACAAAUAUUUUCCAAAUUAAGUUAGAAUUGGUCUCAUGCAAACUGUCGCAUUUAAAAAGUUUCACGGUUUGUAUACCACUUUUCUGACUGACGAUUAGUGGAUUACUUCCUUUGUGGGGCACUAAGUUUGAUCAAAGAAUAGGUUUAUGGUGGGAACGGAUUUUUUUAGUGAAUUGGGGCUUGAAUGUUUGUUGGUUUGGUCGUGAUGCUCACAGCCUUUACGUGACAUCCUCCUCAACAAUCAAAGGUUUGAAUAUGACUGAUGACUCUAUUCACAUGCAUCAGCUUUUUUAUGCAUUAUCACGAUCCAAGAGCAGAGGCCCUUUCCAAAUUUCCAAAUUGUGUAUUUGUGUGCAUGCUUGUUAUGAAGGCCCAGCGUCUACAUUUAUGAAUAUAUAUAUAUAUAUAUAUAUAUACUUUUCCAUAUACCAUUUUUGCAGCACCCCAAAGCUGCUUAUUCUUCACAUCUUCCCCGCUCUCUAUUCAUAUAAAACGAUCCAUUCAUUUCUUUUCGAAGAUGGGUUUCACUUCUAGGAAAUUAGUCCUCUUGGUGGUGCUUUUCAAUUUCACGCUUCUCUCAGCUUGGAGUUUCCGAGAACUUGAAGUAAUGCGGCUACUAGGAGGAGGGCAAUGGGCGAAGAGAAACAGUCUUGUGCUUCAGUCUCUGCAGAAAGGUCCAGUGCUGCCAUCCGGUCCCAGUCCUUGUAAUCACAUCCCAGAACAAAGGGCAGGGCGAUGCACCUUCAAUGAAAAGAAUAUAGCUGACGACAUUGCAACUGCACCUCCAGCCGUUUCCGCGUACAUGCUAGCAGAGGAUGCUGCCAUGGCUUCCCUUGCUAAGGAUGGCUAUGACCAAGAUCACAGCUCUUAAUGAUGUAAUCAUAUUUGUGCAUGGAUCAGCUGAUGAGUUAGAUGUGGAAGAUAGACCCCAAUCCUUAUGAUUAGUAUAUAUAUUUUAUCUCUAACCUUAAUUCAAUUCAUAUACUUGGUUUAGAAAGAAUAACCAAUUCAACUGGUUAGAUAAGAUGCCAUGUAAACUGAGUUUAGUGCUUGAUAAUGCAAUCAUAUUUUGUAUUGAAAAUAUUGAUCUUUAUUUCGGUCCUAAAAACCAUGACAGGAGGGAUAAAAAAAACACCAAAAACAGGAAACCAAGAGGAGGAUCAAUAAAUUUUGAUCAACCUUAUUUAGCAGAAACAGACGAGCGUAAAUGUUGGAAGUAACCCAAAUUGCCUGUGCAAAGGUAUAUGAAUUCGUACACAUAAUCAGGUGCCACGAAGUUGGAUGAAACGCUUGAGUGGGGUUUCCUAUUCCAUGCAUGAAUGCAAAACUAAGAAACAUGAUGAAGAUGGUAAAUCAGCUACCAAAGAUAUGUAUGCCCAUAUGAUUUCCAUCUUAUUCAUUUUUUCUCAUUCAUCUUUGUAGAUAGCGUAAAAAACUUCAGAAGGGUACCACAAGUAAAUAGUGAUAAUGAUUGUUUCUUUCUUGUUCUAACAAACACAAACUUGAUCACAAGAAUGAAAAAAUACAGGACCUGCAAAUCAGUUCACUCCUAUGGUCUCACUAGAAUUAAUUAGAAGUAUAUUUUGGUGCUAGAGAAUUGUAAGAAUUUCUGAUUUUGGUGGCUCCCAUGGAGGAGCGAGCUUCAUUCAUCUAUAUAUGUUUACUGUCCAGUAGCCAUGACAACCGCCGGGGGAGGCAUGGCAUGACCUGCAAAUUUAUUCCGUUAUGGCAAGGUGGAGCGCCCUUUUCUGGGAUACGGCUGCAUGAACUGCUUCCAGAAGGAGGCACAGUACCUGAAUUCAGAGACUGUAAAGAGACAAGUCCUAUCUUGAUCCACUCUUCUUUCUCCCCAUCAAGAACCCUACCAGCACUGUGUGGCUGGACGCUCAGAACAAGAACGAAGUGUCAUGACAGCUAAAACAAUGUCCAGAAACCUCAUGAUCUUGGCGGGUUAAGCAAAGAGGAGAUGAUCAAAGAAAUAUUUUUAGCUGGACAAAUUAAUAUGCAUAUAUGAUAAAUGGAAAAGAAUCAAUAUCUCGGUUAUUUAUAGGGUUAUUCGAUUAAAAGGGUUUUUGAUAAAAAUACUCUAAUUAUUUUCUUGUAAAAAUAACUUUCUUUUAAAACAGGUUACUUUAAAUAAUUGAAAUGGUAGAAGGCAUUUACGUAAAAUAAUAAUAAUAAUAAUAACAGGUUACUUUUAAAAAUAAAAACAAAAACAUGGAAAUGGUUAAAUUCACGAUUUAAAAAUUAUUUCAAUGCUUAACUAAACAAGUGGCUCUAAAUGCCUAAGUGAGAAAAUGGCUUUGAAUGCCUAAGUGAGAAAGUGGCUUUGAACGCAUAACUGAGAAUGUGCCUCUAAACACCUAAUUGAGAAAGUGGCUUUGAACACCUAAUUAAGAAAGUUACUCUAAACGCCUAACUGAGAAAGUGGCUAUGAACGCCUCAGUGAGAAAGUGACCCUAAAUGCCUAAUUGAGAAAGUCGCUUUCAACGCCUAACUGAGAAAGUGACUUUGAACGCCUAAGUGAGAAAGUGGUGCUGAAGGCCAAACUAAGAUGGUUGCUUUGAACACCUAACUCAACAAGUGGAUCUAAACACCUAAGCGAGAAAGUGGCUAUGAACGCCUAACUGAGAAUGUGCCUAUGAAUGCCUAAUUGAGAAUAUGCCUCUAAACUCCUAACUGAGAAAGUUGCACUAAACGCCUAAUAGAGAAAGUGGGUAAGAACGACAAAGUGAGAAUGUUGUUCUAAACUUCUAAUUGAGAAAGUGGCUCAGAACGCUUAACUAAGAAAGUCACUCUGAACGCCUAAGUGAGAAAGUGGUUGUGAAUGCCAAAGUGAGAAAAUGGCUCUGAACACCUAAUUGAGCAAGUGACUCUUAACUCCUAAGUGAGAAAGUGACUCUAAAUGCCUAGUUGAGAAAGUGGCCUUGAAUGUGUAACUGAGAAAGUCACUCUAAACAUCUAACUAAGAAAGUCGCUAUAAAGGCCUAAGUGAGAAAAUGGCUCUCAACGCCUAACUGAGAAAGUGGCUCUCAACGCCUAAGUGAGAAAGUGUUUUUGAUCACUAAGGUGAGAUACUGGCUCUGAAUGCCUAAUUGAGCAAGUGGCUCUGAACGCCUAACUAAGAAAGUGAUGAUGAAUGCCUAAAUAAGAAAGUGGUUCUUAAGGCCAAAAUAAGUCACUGGCUUUGAACGCCUAAUUGAGCAAGUGGUUGUGAAUGACUAAAUGAGAUAGUGGUUGUGAGCUCCUAAGUGAGAAAGUGUCUGAAUGCCUAAUUGAGAAAGUGGCUCUAAAUGCCUAUAUAAGAAAGUUGUUGUGAAGGCCAAAGUGGGAAAAUGGCUUUGAACGCCUAACUAGACUAGUGGCUUUGAACGCCUAAUUGAGCUAGUGGCUCUAAACAUCUAAGUGAGAAAAUGGGUAUAAAUGCCUAAGUGAGAAAGUGCCCUUGAACACCUAACCAAGAAUGUGCAUUUGAAUGCCUAAUUGAAAAAGUCGCUCUCAAUGCCUAAUUGACAAAGUGGCUUUAAACACCUAAUUGAGAAAGUGGUUCUGACCGCCUAACUGAGAAAGUCGCUCUGGAUGCCUAACUAAGAAAGGGGUUUUGAACGCCUAAGUGAGAAAGUGGUUGUGAAACAAAAGUGAGAAAGUGGUUUUGAAGGCCUAACUAUGCAAGUGGCUUUGAACGCCUAAGUGCAUGAGAAAGUGGCUCUAAACGGCUAAGUGAGAAAGUGGCUCUAAACACCUAAUUGAGAAUGUGCCUCUAAACGCCUUACUAAGAAUGUGCCUCUGAACGCCUAACUGAGAAUGUGCCUCCAAAUGCCUAAAUGAGCAAGUGGCUCUGAACGCCUAAGUGAGAAAGUGGCUCUAAAGGCCUAAAUGAGAAAGUGGCUCAGGAUGCCUAAUUGAGAAUGUGCUUCUAAAUGCCUAAUUGAGAGAGUCGCUAUGAACUUCUAAGUAAGAAGUGGUUGUGAAGCCAAAGUGAGAAUAUGGCUCUAAAUGCCUCAUUGAGAAAGGGGCUUAGAACACCUAAUAGCGUUUUUUUUUUAAAUUAAUGCCUGAUGCGACUCAUGGUAGCUUAGCUUUAAAGGCGUAUCAACAAAAUUUAUACCUUAAAUACUAUUACUAAAGUAGCCAAGCUACUAUAGCAUAGUGGUUCUAGGAUCGUUCACUGGGAAAGGUUUUCGCAAACACAAGUGAUAUUCAAAUUAGGAAAAUAGGUGAUUUUCUUAUGGAUGUUAGCUUUAAAAGAAGAUGUAAAUGUUUUAAAAAGAUUUAAACUAAUCUAAGCUAACAUUAAAGACUAAAAUGAAAGGGUGUAAAAACAAGUUUCUCAAAGAUAGGAUAGCUAUGCUCUGGCUCUUAUGCAAAUUGGAAAUCUCAGGAUAGGCUCCUCGCGUUGGGGUUGCAACUAUGGUGAUGCUUGCUUCCCGAACCGGUAUGGAUUUAGCAAAUCAAGUUUUAAUCCUUUAAAAUGGCAAAAAAGAUGGUAGUGAAUUUUAUCAAUGGUUAUUCACCUUAGACUUCCUUUGAAUGGCUCGUAAGAGAUAACUCAUGGUCUAAAGCCAAAAGCUUACCAAAUAUUGGCAACUCAAAGUCAUUCCAGGUGAUAAACUCACCUUUCAAUGGCCAUUGAAAUUGGUUCUAACGGAUUAAUGCAAAACUUGGAAUUGAAAACCUCACCUUCCAAUAGCUCGUAGGAGAUAACUAAUGGAUAGAAAUCCAAAAGCUUAUCAAGUAUUGGCCGUUGGAAGUUGUUCAAAGGAAAUAAAAACCAAACUUUGCAUUAAUGAACCAUUAAUGAAAAACGACUACCUUACCUUCCAGGUGUGAGAAAUUUCCAUGGGAUUGCAUCCAAGCCAUCACAUAACAUCCAUACUUUGAGAAACUAAAAGUUUUAGCCAAUCAUCCUCUAAGGAAAAGCCCUCAGAGGCUGUUUGGCUACUAAGAAAAUAGAAAUGGAGAAGAACAGGAGAAGAGAGAAAAACAAAGCUUUAUAUAUCUCUAAGUUAAUGUACAGAGGAUCGAUCCCCAAACAUCCCAUUCUUCUGUUGGAGGUGUUGUGCACCUCUAUAUAUAGCAAAAUUACAAGAUAAAGCUUUAUGUCGGCUGAAUACAAGGUUACAAAAGGAAUUUACAUGAGAAAAUAUCAAGCUAAAAAUAUUUGGGAAGUCGGUGGUGCGUGCGUGGAGAAACAGAGGAUUCAAAGGAAUUUCGCAAUGUAAAAGGCACAUUGCGAAAUUUUCGCAAGGUGAAUUACUCAUGAUGCGAAGUGCCAUAUUUUCGCAUCAUGAGUUAAUUCACCUUGCGAAAUUUUCGCAAUGUGAAAUUCACAUUGCGAAAUGGCAAAAUUUCGCACCAUGAAGAAAAUCUCCUUGCGAAAUUUUCGCAAUGUGAAAUUCACCUUGCGAAAUUGGUCAUUUGGCAUGAUGCAGUUGCCUUCCGAAGGCCAUAUCUUCCUCAUUUCAGCUCCAAAUCAUACACGGUUUGAAGCGUUGGAUUCUUGACUUCCUAAGCUUUCAAAUGGUAUAUAGCAUGUAGAAAAUGGACUUCGGGAAGUGCUCCAAAAGUGUGAAAGAAGACUGCAGCUGUUUUCUUCACUCUGUUUUCCUCUUCUCCAUUGCUUGUGCUCGUGUUUCCACUUGAAAUUCAAGCCUGUAAUCAUCCAAAAUCCUUGCUUAACUCGCCCAAAUAGCUCCUCCAUCAAUUGGCAUGCUUGAAUUGGUUCAUAAGCUGAUAAAAACAUGUAAACUUGCCACAAAAAUGGUUAAAACCAAUUACUAAGGACCUUAAUGAAUUAAUUGGGUUAAAUGAAUAUGAUUACUACUCAAAGGUGCUUAAAACCAUUAUUAUUAGGUCUACAAAAUAGCACUUUUUGGUAGUAAUCAAUGCCAAAGUGAGAAGGGUUUCUUUGACUGUUGACGACAUACUAAUAGCGUUUUGCUUUGGGAGAUUGAAAAUUGAAGUAGUGGUCUUAAAGAAGAAACUACGUCUAAAAUUAUCAGAUUACUGUACACAUGGGCAUGCAUCUUAUGACCUUUUUGAACAUAAAAAAUUAUAUAUAUAUAUAUAUAUAUAUGUGUGUGUGUGUGUGUGUGUGUGUGUGUGUGUGCGCGCACGCGCGCUCAUGAAAAGGAAAAUGGUUUUGAUGUUAAGUUGAAGAGUUGUCUUGGUUGUCCUUAAUCAUCAUUUCCUUGAGGAGGGUUCACCAUUCAGCAAGCUGGCUAAACCUAUUAGGAGUCACUCAUUAGUCGGCAUGUUUAAUUUUCUCCCUAUUGAAUUAGGUGCGCAUACUAGUUGGUAUAAGUCAUUUAAUAAAAAAAAAUUAAGAAUAUUUACAAACUAGGUUAGCGUUAAAUAAGAGUACACUGUCUGAUCUAGGCAUUUUGGAGAUUCUUUCUUAUAACUUGAACUUCCUUAAGGGGGAAUUAGUUUUGAAAAAUCAAUGAAGUUAUGAAUGAAGUGUUAAACACAAGCUCAAGGCUAUAUUUGGUUUUCAAAAUUUUUGAAGGAAAAUAUGAUGGGAAGAAAAUAAAAAUGAUAGAAAUAAAAUGAAUAAAUAAAUGAAAGAAAAUAAAAAAUAAAUUUAAAAUUUAUAAGUUAUUAUUAUACAUGCAUUAUUUAAAAUUUAUUUUACUUAUUUUAAUAUUAAAUAAUUUUAAAAUAUAUAAAUUUCUAACCAAUUUUAAUUACAUGUGGUUCUCUUUCAUAUUUUUCAUAUAAAAAAACCGAACAUGAUAAAAUUAUUUUCCUAAUCAUUUUCUUUCUUUCCUUGAUACUUAGACAAUUUUGAAUUUCUCAAAAUUCUAAUAUUUUUUUUUGGGGAUAUUAGACUUCUAAAUUCUUUUAAAAGAAUAUAUUCUUUAAAGAAUUAACCAUCUAAGUCUAUCUAUCCUUUGGACCAUAAUAUCCUAGUACAAAAAUUUCAAACAAAUUGAUUGAAAAUAGAGAGUAGCUUAGGUAUUUUUGAACCACCUGUGUUUCUUGAAGUUUUUUUGUCUUGGCUAGAUCUUGACCCCUUGUUAAUUUUACAUGUUAAUACACUGAAAAUAGAACCAAAUAGUAAAAUUCCACUUGAUUUUGAAUCUGUUUGCGUUAGGAAAGAAUUUGGUGAUAACACUCACCAUACUGCAACAACCUCAAGUCACAACAACUUACCUGCAAUAGAAAAAAUGGCUACACCAGAAGAAUCUUCAAGACUAUUGUAAAAUCACAUAACUGAUAUUCCAUUCAAGAAUCUAUUACAAUAGGUGUAUAAAUACUAUACAUGAAAAAACACAAUAAUGCAAGAGAAUAAGAAAUUCCUUUAUUUGGAAAAUAUCAAUGGGUUUCAAUACUACGUGCUAAGAUAGUUUUAGAUUCCCAAAAUAUUAGUGUAUAUUAUUUGGGUCUGUUAUGGGUUUAUAAUUAAUUUUAAAUUUUAUUGACUUUAUCAUAGAAUAAAUCUUGAUUCUUGUACACUAAAGCAUGCAUCUUAUGACCUUUAAAACAUAAGAAAUUAUAAUUAAAAAAAAUGAAAAUGAUUUUAAUGUUAAGUUGCAGGGUUGCCUUGCUUGUCCUUAAUCAUAAUUUUCUUGAGGAGGAUUUACCAUUAAUCUAACAUUAAUUUGUUCACACGAAAUUAAACAAGGUGGUGAAAGCUAUUAUCUACUAGUAAGAGUUCCGAAUGUCAUCAAAUUAGGUGCAUAGAAUAUAUAGUUGGUAAAAGUCAUUUAAUAAAGAAAAAAAAUUGAAAAACCACUUCCAAAUUAGGUCAGCGUUAAAUAAGAUUCGACCCCCUAAUCGUGGAAUGAACUUUGGAGCGUCUUUCUUAUAACUUAGAACUUCCUUUUGGGGGCACACAUUGGUUUCCAAAAGUGAAUGAAGUUCUAGAAGGAGUGUUAUUACAACCAUAGAAAGGGACAUAAAAGAAGAAAUUAUGAAGAAUUGAUCAAAACACCAAGUAGUAAGAAAAAAUCUUAAAUUCCAAUAAACUUCAAAUUUUACUAAUAUUGUUGAUAAAAAGUUUAAUAAGAAAGAUGAUUUCUUUUUGUUAUAGUCAAUAAAACUUUUGUUGACUCUUAGAUUUUAAAUUUUAUUGUUUGAAUGGGCAAUGAUUCAAGUUCUAAAGUCAUUAAGAUUGAUACCAUAAAGGUGAGGAUGUUUGAUGGUAUUAUGAGAAUGUUGAGUAAUGUUUAGCAUAUUGCUAAGUUGAGAAAGAGUUUAAUUUCUUUAGAGGCUUUGGAUACUCUUCUCUAUGAUUUUUCUGGAAAAAAAUAAAUAAAUGAUAUUAUUAAUAUCAAUUAAAGUGCUUUGAUAGCUAUGAUAGGGAAAAAGGUGAAAACUUUUAUACAAGUUGAUUGAAAAUAUAAUUUUAGGUGGAGCUAUGAAGGUAGAGUCACAUUAUGAAAAGUCUUUUACUAGUAGUAAAGAAGUUGUCAAAGUAGAUGGAUGCCACAAGAUGAUUGAGAUUCCGUUUUUCACUAAGUGUACUCAUUAACACAAGGAUGAAAAUAGUUUCGAAAUGAAUAAAGUUAUAAAGAAAACAAAGACAAUUUCUUAAAUCAAGUUCGAUGACAGUUUGAAUUUAGCACAUAUUUAUUCUCAUUAAUUAUGCAAGAUUGAGAAAUUUUAAUCAAUGUGGAGAUUGUUGGUAUUUGGUUUAAAUUAUCUAUUUAUUAUAUUUAGGAAAGUCAAUAUUUAUAAUAGAGUUUGUGUUUUGGUAAAUUACCUUUUUCGAGUUUAACUAUGAUUAGGAAACUAUUGAUUUUGGGUUCAUCCAUAGGACUUUACAAAUAUGAGGUUUUAAAUAGGAUUUAGUAAGAGAAAUAAAAAUGCAUAAAGAGUGAAGAGAUAUAAGCAAAGGGUGUAUUGAAUUUUAAGUAAAAAAAAAUUGAAAAAGUUUGAAGUUGUUGGGCUAUGUUUGUCUGGCCUAUGAGCCCAUAUAUUAGGCUAUUUUAUAUUUAGGUUUUUCCUAAGCCCAAAUAUGGAUCUAAAAAUAGCAUUAGCACUUUGGUAUUAAGAGAAAAAGGCAUUUGAUUGAGAAAAAGAAAGAAGAUCAGGAUUUGUUUUUCUAGGCAUUGUUCUAAGGCUCAAGGGUGAAGUUAUAGGUUCCUUUCAUCAACCUUUUUGGGGAAUUCCUAUAGUACGUUUUCUCCCUAAUUUCUUUAUGUUCAUGUUUCAUUGGGUGAUGGAUUCCUACCUUAAGCGAGGACUUAAUUAUUGUAUCCCUAUUUAUUGAAGUAGAAGAAAUUUUCUCUAUGGUUUUUUACCUCUAUUCAAAGGGUUUUUCCACGUUAUAUUUGGUAUCCUCUUUUGUGGUUGAAUGUUAUUGAUUGUCGUUCUUGAUUUUUCUUAAGUUGUUAUUAUUCUUGAGAGGUGGUUAUUAUUGUUGAGUGGUUGUUAUUCUUGUGGAAGAAUCUUUUAACUUUGGCAGGUUAAUACUCUAGAUCUCUCCCUUUAUUUUCCCAACAAGUGGUAUCAGAGCUUGGUUGUGGAACUUUUAUUCUUGAAAGGGAUGGAGAUAAAAGGGAACUCAACCUCCAUGAUAAAACUUAACAAUUCAAAUUAGGCUAUGUGGAAGUCCAUGAUGAAAGAUUUUCUCACCAUCAAUGAUUUGUCAAAUACUUUUGAAGAUAAAGAAGUUAGGCCCAAAGAUAUUUUUUAUUUGGAAGCUUACUAAGGGCUCGUUGGUUGUUGCAAAAGGAGAAACAAUAUAUUUUAGUUUUUUUCCUCUUCUCUAGCAUAUAAGCGUCGUAAACUUGGAUGCAUGAGCAAAGUUUGACAAAACACACGGAUGAAUUCCGAACAAAGAUGAUGAAAAUGGAAGUACUCCAACAACCAGCAAGCAUAUAUGAGCAUAUGCAUCAUUCAACUUGUUCUUUUUUAUUUCUAUAUAUAUCACAAAGUGUAGAAGUCCACCAGGGCAUAAAUUGUGAAUGGAGAAAAAGAAUACACCAAUCUAGGAUUUUUUUUUAAAUAAUAAUAUAAUUUUUAAUAUAUAUAUAUAUAUAUAUAUAUAUUACAAAAAUAUAAUAUUUUUGAAAAUUGUCUUUUUAAAAGAUGAUUUCACAUUCACAAAUUGUCUUUAUAAAAAAAACAAAAAACAAAAAAAACAAGUUUUUGUUAAUAGUUAUCUUGUAUUUCAUCUUUUAUUUUCUUUCUUAUUUCAAGUAAGAUCAUUGUUUCAAAAUGGGAUUUUGACAUGAAUAUAUUCUUUUAUACCCUUAGAUCAGAUGAUCAAUAGAUGAGCUCUAUGGUAUUAUAAUCAAGGAUAGUGAGACCCUGAAGAGCAUGUUGAUAUGUGGUGGCCAUGAUGGUAAUAAGUUUGUGUAUAGCUAAUGGAUUGACUUUAAAUAUGUCCAAAUCUAUGAUUUUAUUAUUUACAUAUCAUACGUUUUUUAAAAUGUAAUUAUCAUUAUGUUAUGCUAGUUUUUGUACAUAAAAAUUGUUCCAUAUAUAAUAUAUUUUUAAACUGUUUUUACCUUGUAUCAAUUAUCCUAACACUAGUGCAUCAUAAUUAUCCGCUAAACCAUUUGUUCACCUAAUAGAUUUUGAUGGUUUUUAGGUAAGGACUCCCAUGCAUAUGCCUAUUGAGGAGGCAGAAUUAGCUUCAAAGAACAAGUCACUAGGUACCUAGAUUUGUGUUUUUCCUUAUUAGACCUGUAGGACAUGUAGUUCAUUUUCUUUAUGUAUUUUAGAUGUUUUCUUUUGUAUGUCUCAUCUUCUCAAUCUCUGCUUCCACUAUUAAUUUAUUUUGUUAUUGUUUUAUCAAAAUCAUUUAAUUGUAUGUAUUUUUUUUUAUACUAAAUAUUUAUCUAUUGAGACAAUGAUUUCUUUUUAGAUUUUGAUGCAAAAUGGACUCACCAUCUCUUAGUGGGCCCUUUUUGGGUCUUUACAAAUCAAGUUUCUAGUAAUAUUAUUAUAUAGCAGUUUUCUGUUCGCGAAUUACAUAGUAAUUUUCUCUUAAUGAUGUAGACAUGGUCUUCCGGUAUGCAAAUUUACAUCCAAAGCAAAUAGUAUUUAUACUAAAAAAUAAGUUGGUUUGCUUUAUUAUCAAACUAAUAAAAAGGCUACCAUGAAUAUAUCCAUAUUAUCACAAAUAUUAGCCUUGCCAAUAUAUUUUAGUUUUUUUUUCCUCUUUUCCAGCAUGUAAGUGCCAUAAACUUGGAUGCAUGAGCAAAGUUUGGUAAAACACACGGUUGAAUGCCAAGCAAAGAUGAUGAAGAUGGAAAUACAGCAACAACCAGCAAGCAUAUAUGCGUAUUUAUAUAUGCUUUUUAUUUCCAUAUAUAUCACAAAGUGUAAAAGUCCACCAGGGUACAAAAUGUGAACAGAGAAAAAGAACACACGAAUGACAUACAAUUUUUUGUGUUAUUAUUUUUCCUUAAUGUAUUUAUCAUGAUGAAAAUAUAUAAAAACAAAAACAAAAACAACAUAUUAUAUGCUCAGGACUCGUAAGAUUUUCUGAUGUUGGGUGAUGACUAUGCAUAUUGGAGGCUGGAGCUUCAUUUAUGUUCAGUAGUCAUGACAACAGGAGCAGCGCAUGCGAACCUGUUCAGUAGCAAUAUUUUUAUGUGGGCAAUGUGAAGAUAUAUGGAGGAGAACGAUCACCGGUUAUUUAUAUGAAUGCAGCCAGUGGCAUGACUAGAGUUUUUGGUAGUUUGGCUUAGUUGAAGGGUUUUUUUGACUCUUGACUAAUAGAAUUUUCCUGUAGGAGAUUAGAAAUUGAAUAGGUCAUAAAGGAAGAAAAUACCUAGAAUUUACCCAAAUGGCUAGUUUUCUUAUGUAGUUAAUUUAAUUUCACAUAUGCGUGCAUCUUAAAUCAAUUACAAAGAAAAUAUAUGAUACUCUCUCCAAGCUUUUUCGAAAAUAGAUAUGAGAAAUUAAUCCAUGCCCAUUAACUUUAGUUAAUAGUAAAGUAUGUAAUUUGGCUUGAUUAAAUAUCCUUAGUUAUGAUUUUCAUGAGAAAGUUAGAUAAUUAUCGUUUUGGAUACCAGGUUCUACUAUAUAAUCACAUUUUUUUUCACCAAAUUAAGCAAUAUUCGUAAAGCUUAUUUAAAUUAUUGAUUUGUAAUUAACCUGUAUUGGACACCGAAGAAUCAAUUUAUAUGCUACAGGUACAAGUGAUAUUCACUAGCAUGUUCAGGAUACAUGGCAUUUUCUGAGUUAUAUUAAUUGCAUAAGGGGCUGCUAAAUCAUAUCUCAUUAAAAUUAAUCAUUUCCAAAUUGUUAGCAUUAAUCUAUAGCAAAGUUAAUUCAAAAUUUUCUCACAGUUGUAAAGCACUUAAUGAUAGAAAUAGGAGUAGAGAGACCAAUCUAGGUAGGUAUGGUCUAUGAAGUUUUUUGUCUUAUAUAAUACGUACCAUUUACUUCAUUAUUUUAGAGGCAUUGAUUUUGAACAAAGAUAAAUUAAGUUGUGGUAGGAACACGUUUACAUGAAUUGGGGCUUUUAGACGACAUACUUCUAGCAGAUUCAAGUCAUUGAACAUAACUCUACUAACACGCAUCAGCUUUUCCACCCUCAGAAGCCAUGAGACAAAGUCCAUUUCUAUGUAUAUAUGCACAUGUACCAACCCUCUUUAUUAUGACUUUACCCAUGUUGACAUAGUUUAACACGAGCUCAAACUUAGGAUGAUAUUUAAGGCUUAAGCUAAAUUAUAUAUUUUGAAAAAUAUGGUUAAUAUUAUCCGUUAUCCAACAACUCAAGUUUUUAAAUCAAAUGAGUAAUUUAACAAUUACACUAUCCUUAUACCAUUAAUUGGAAGGCACUUCAUAUCUUUUGCCCAAGAUAUCUAGGAUUUUUUUUUUUGCUUAAAUAAUAAUAUAAUUUAUAAAUAAAUAAUAUAUAUAUAUAUAUAUAUAUAUAUAUAUAUAUAUAUAUAUAUAUAUAUAUAUAUAUAUAUAUAUAUAUAUAUAUAUAUAUAUAUGUAUGUAUGUAUGUAUAAAAUAGUAUUUUACAACAUAUUUAGAAAAAAUAUGAUAUUUUUGGAAUUCGUUUUUUUUAAAAAAAAACAAUUUCACAUGCAUAAAUGGUCUUUAAGAAAAACAAUUUCUUGUUAAUAGAUAUCUUGUAUUUCAUCUCUUAUUUUCUUUCUUAUUUCAAGUAAGAUUAUUGUUUCAAAAUGGGAUUUUGACAUGAAUAUACUCUUUUAUACCCUUAGGUGAGAUGAACAGGAGAUGAACUCUAUGGUAUUAUGAUCAACGAUAAUGAGACCUGAAGAGCAUGUUGAUGAUACGUGGUGGCCAUGAAGGUAAUAGGCUUGUGUAUAGCUGAUGGAUUGACCAUAAAUAUGUCCAAAUCUAUGAUUUUAUUAUUUAUAUCUCAUACAUUUUUUAAAUGUUAUUAUCAUUAUGUUAUGCUAGUUUUGUACAUCAAAAUUAUUCCAUAUAUAAUAUAUUUUAAAACUGUUUUUACCUUGUAUUAAUUAUCAUAACAAAAAUGCAGCAUAAUUAUCCACUAAACCAUUCAUUCACCAAAUAGAUUUUAAUGGUUUUUAAGGUAAGGACUCUCGUAUGCCUAUUCAUGAGGUAGAAUCAACUUCAGAGAACAAAUCACUACGUACCUAGAUUUGUGUUUUUCUUUAUUAGACAUGUAGGAUAUGUAAUCUAUUUCCUUAAUGUAUUUUAGUUGUUUUCAGUUGUAUAUCAUCUUGUCAACCUUUGCUUCCACUAUUAAUUUAUUUUAUUAUUGUUGUUUUACUAAAAUCAUUUAGUUGUAUGUAGUUUUUAUACUAAAUAUUUAUAUGUUGAGACAAUGAUUUCUUUUUAAAUUUUGAUGCAAAAUGGACUCACCAUCUCUUAGUGGGCCCUUUUUGGGAGGGUGUUUACAAAUCAAGUUUCUGAUAAUAUUAUUAUGUAGCAGUUUUCUCUUUACUAAUUACAAAUAAAUUUUCUCUUAAUGAUGUAGACAUGAUUUUAGGCUAUGUGAAAUUACACCUAAAGAAAAUAAUAUUUAUACUAAAAAAUAAGUUGUUCUGUGCUAUUAUCAAACUAAUAAAAAAACUACCCUGAAUAUAUCCAUAUUAUCACAAAUAAUUAACCUUGCCAAUAUACUUUAGUUUUUUUCCUCUUCUGUACCAAUAUAUUUUACUUUUUUUCCUCUUCUCUAGCAUAUAAGUGCCGUAAACUUGGAUGCAUGAGCAAAGUCAAACACACGGAUGAAUGCUGAACAAAGAUGAUGAAAAUGGAAGUACUCCAACAACCAGCAAGCAUAUAUGAGCAUAUGCAUCAUUCAACUUGUUCUUUUUUAUUUCUAUAUAUAUCACAAAGUGUAGAAGUCCACCAGGGUACAAACUGUGAAGGGAGAAAAAGAAUACACGAAUGACAUACAACCAAUUUGGGUUAUUAUUAUUUUUUAUAUGAAAAGGAAAAUAUAUAAAAUAAAAUAACAAAAACAACAAAUGCAACGCCUACAUAUUCAGUUUAUUCCUUGUGGUCCCAUAAAAGUCAUAAAAUACGUAGUUAUGUGCUCAGGACUCGUAAGAUUUUCUGAUGUUGAGUGAUGACUAUGCAUGGUGGAGGCUAGAGUGAUAGGCCACGACGAUCUGAGAGGGACCAUAAACCAAAUCCCAAAUAUUUGGGAUGAGUGGGAACGUGAAGAACCGUUGGACUUGGACUGGGUUGUGGCAGUUGAGAGUCCUACGUGCAGAAGGAAAUGGGUCAUCCGUAGUGAGAGUUUUCCGUCAUUUUAUUUCCGUUUGUUAUGCUCGUUUGUACGUGGCUUUGCUUAUUUAAAGCAGCCAAUGCUUUCGUUAAAGAGUAGUAUUUUUCUUUGCAAUCAAAUUGUGGUUCGUUUCUCACCCGAAGAGAAAACAUAGUAUCUUAGCCUUAUACUCUGAGUUUGGGACCUAUCAUAGAGCUUCAUUUAUGUUCAGUAGCCAUGACAACAGGAGUGCUGGCAUGCGAACUGGCUCUAUGGGGAGGAAUGGCAUGACCCGCAAACUUCAUUCCAUUGGGACAAGGUGAGCCUUUUUCGGGGAUAUGGCCGCAUGAACUUGGUCCUGAAGGAGGGACAGGUCCUGAAAGCGUAGAUUUCAAAGGAACAAUCCUUAUCUUCAUCCACUCUUCUUUCUCUCCAUGAUGAUCUUGGAUGGGUUAAGCAAACAGGAGAUGAUCAGAUAGAGCAAUAUUUUUAUGUGGGCAAUAUGAAGUUAUAUGGAGGAGAACGAUCACCGGUUAUUUAUAUGAAUGCUGCCAGUGGCAUGACUAGAGUUUUUGGUUGUUUGGCUUAGUUGAAGGGUUUUUUUGACUCUUGACUAAUAGUAUUAAUUCAAAAUUUUCUAACGGUUGUAAAGCACUUAAAUAAGAGUAGAGAGACCAAUCUAGGUAGGUAUGGUCUAUGAAGACUUUUGUCAUAUAUGAUACGCACCAUUUACUUCAUUAUUUUAGAGGCAUUGAUUUUGAACAAAGAUAAAUUAAGUUGUGGUAGGAACACGUUUACUUGAAUUGGGCCUUGAAUGUUUGGGGCUUUUAGACGACAUACUUCCAGCAGAUUUAAGUCAUUGAGCAUUACUAACACGCAUCAGCUUUUCCACCCUCAGGAGCCAUGAGACAAAAUCCCUUUCUAUGUAUAUAUGCACAUGUACCAACCCUCUUUAUUAUGACUUUACCCAUGUUGACAUAGUUUAACAUGAGCUCAAAUUAGUAACUUAGGAUGACAUUUAAGGCUUAAGUUAAAUUACCUUGAUAAAUAUGGUUAAUAUGGUUAAUUUGAUAUGUUAUCCAACAACUUAAGUUUUUAAAUCAAAAGAGUAAUUUUACAAUUACACUAUCUUUAUACCAUUAAUUGGAAGGCACUUGUGGACCCGCGUUUUUCACGUGCAUCCCCACUCGAGUGGCGAGACUCAUUUUUCAUUUAUUUGUGAAAAUUUAAUUUUUAGAAAAAGACUUGGAAUUGCUACUUAUUUUAAUUUUUUUUAAAUGGAAAAUAAAAUAAGAAAGAAACCAUGUGUGACUCCUUAUUUGGAAAAGACAUGUCUGUAAAAACAGAAUCUAGAUUUAAGGGUUAGGCUACCUAUUGAGAAGAUACGGUGGUGAACCGUAGCACCCCUUUAAGGUCGUAUACAUACGGUCUCUACUAAACAAAUUAAGGGAAUUGUGGUAAUUAAUUAAUUAAUCAUAAAUACCAAGAUUAAAGGAACUAAACAAUAUACACAAAGAUGAUGACAAAAUAAAAUUACAAGAAUGUACAAAAUAAAUGAAAACAGAAUUAUGCAAAUUGAUUUAUUGAACUAAAUAAAAAAAUAUUUUAAAAAAUUAGUUUUCUAAAAAUUUGAAAGGAUUUUAUUUAAAACAAUUUUGAAUUAGUGAUUUCCAUUUAUUUAUUUACAAAAAAUAGUCAAUAUAUUUUCUCAAUUUCAUUUGAAUUUAGAGAUGUCUUUAUCUUUGAUGCUUGCAUAGGCUUUUACUUCUACCCGCUUGCUGAAGUAGUCAGUGGCUACGAGUAGAAAUUUCUUUUGCACGGAUGUGAUAGGUAAGGGGCUAACUAUAUCCAUACCCCAUAGUGUGAAUGGCCAAGGGCUCAUGACAGGAUUGAGGACUUCUGACAGCAUAUGAGGAAUGGGAGUGUACUUCUGGCAUCAGCCACACCUUCUAACAUAGCUUUUGAUGUCUUUCCUUAUGGUAGGCCAAUAGUACCCCUAUGUGUGAGCGCGAUGAGCUAAGGUACAUCUACCUUCAUAAUUGCUGCAUACGCCCUAGUAGAGAUUGGCUAGGAUGUACUGUGCUUCUGGACCGCUCAAACACUUGAGGUACAACCCCCCAAAAGAUUGCCUAUAAAGCUUGUCCCUGAUUAGAGUGAAAUGAGCAGCCUGCACCUGGAUCUUCUGUGUUUGUUUCUUAUCUUUAGGUAGUUCCCUUAUCCAAAGGUAUUUCCCAAUUUCGUAAGUCCAAUCAGUGUUUGUCUCAAUAGUACUACAUACGGAUGCUGCCGCGAUUGAGGACGUGGUUUGGAGGUAAAUGGGCAGUAGCAUUGCCUCCUCUAGAGGGAGAGUAGCGGCUACUUCAGCCAGCGCGUCAACUUUUGAGUUCUCUCUCCGAGGUACUCAGUCCACCGCCCAUUCACCCAAUUUUGCAAAGUUAUUUUGUACUAAUGCGAGAUAGCGAGCCAUGCGCUUGUCCUUAACUUCAUAUUCUUUCCAAAAUUUCCUAAUGACUAGUUGAGAAUUGUUGCAUAUUUUUAACUUAACUAGUACUAAAGUAAGGGUAAGGUUCAAUCCGGUUAAGAUUGCCUCAUACUCAACUUCGUUGUUGGAGGCGGGGAAACCGAGCUGAAUAGCUUAUUCUAGAAGUUUCCCGAUUGGUGACUGUAAAAUUAGGCCUACCCUCGAACUGGAGGCCCUGGAUGUUCCAUCUACAUGAAGUGCCCACCACCCUUCCUCAGGGGAGUAUGCUAGGUGGGGUGGCUUUUGAGGGAACUCAGCUAUAGAAUCGGCCAUGACUUGUCCCUUCAAUGCCAAUCUAGGCUGAUAUUUGAUUUUGUAUUCACUCAACUCUAUGACCCACCUUAACAUUCUUCUGGAUAGGUCUGAUUUAUGCCAAAUACUUUUGACCAGUUGAUUCGUGAGUAUAGUUACUUGAUGGGCUUGAAAAGAAGGGCGGAGCUUUUGGGUGACACUUUUUAGAGCUAAGGUCAUUUCCUCCAUCUUGGAGUACCAGGUUUCUACAUCAACUAUCGCUUUGCUAACGUAGUAAACGAGCCUUUGUUCUUUAUCUUUUACGUGACGAAAUAGGACAACGCUGACCGCAUAGUUAGACAUGGCUAAAUCUAUGUGAGUUGUUCACUGGAUUGCGGGCUACUCAGAAUGGGUGGAUGGGUAAGAUAGCAUUUAACCUUGUUGAAUUCUCGUUUGCACUCAUCUAUCAAACCGAUCACGCUUGCCCCUUUUAGCAUGAAGAAGAAAGGCCUUAGCUUAUUAGUGAAAUGAGCUAUGAAAUGUCCCAGUGCAGCUAGGUGACUUGUGAGGCACUACAACUCCUUCUUGCUGCUCGAGGCAGGCGUUUCAAGGACGACUCUUAUUUGGUCCGAGUUCACUUCAAUUCCCAUUUAUGUUACCAUAAACCCUAAGAAUUUCCCCGCGUUGACACCAAAGGCAUAUUUAACAAUGUUUCUUCUAAUUGUUGGGCGUGUUCACUAUGAUUUUUGCUUUUCACCACGAUUUCGUCAAUGUACACUUCCAUGGUCUGGUCGAUUAGGGAUUUGAAGAUCUUUGUCAUCAGCCUUUGAUAAGUAGCGCCAAUAUUUUUUAGCAUAAACAACAUGACCUUGUAGUAGUAAAGUUCGUGCGGCGUCACGAAGGUUGUCUUAUCUUUGUCUAGUUGGAACAUGGGGAUUUGGUGGUAUCCAUAGAAUGCAUCUAUGAAGGAGAGCAUUCCAUGUCCAAUAGUGGCAUUUACUAUUUAAUCUAUUCUAGGCAAUGGAAAACUAUCCGUUGGACAAGUCUCAUUCAAGUUGGUGUAAUGAACACAGACUCGCCACUUUCCUCAUUUCUUUGGAACAACCACCACUAUAGACCCUCGUUUUUGUCCUUUUAGCACAUGUCUUUAAGUUCACUUCCAGUGCUCCAUAUUAGUUCCUUGGUGGCCCAUUACUACUCAUACUACUUACCUUUUUUUAGCUACCUUGGAAACAUUGGUUGAAGGAUUUAUCUAACCCCAUUAUGACUCUUAAUAGCCCUAAUUUAGAAUUAGGCACUGUUCUAAACACCUUAAGCCCACUUAGGCACCACAUUAAGCCCAUUCACUUAGGCCCACUUAGGUUCAUCUUGGCCCACUUAGGUUCACCCAAGCACACGUGGUCCACUUCGCUCGCCCUAGGUCACUUAGGCACACUUUUAGACUCACUUAUUUUUGCAUGACUUGCAUGGUUUCAUGAAUUGCAUGACUUGUGUGGCCUACAUAGCUUUAUUUAUUUAUAUUUUAUGUAUUAUUUUUGUUUUAUUUUAUUUUAUAUUAUUAUAUUAUAAGUUUUCUAACUCAUGUUUCCUAGAUUUUUUUAGCAUGAGGAAACGGGCUACCAUCUAUUUGGAAGAAGGAUCACCAUAAUUUUCGAGAAACGAAAGUGACAGAGAUUUUUUUUAUGGAAUAACGAAAGGACAGGGAAAGAGAUAGUGGUAUGAAAGGUCAUCUGAAACAUAUAUAUCCAUUUGAAAUUUUCUGAGGGGACGCACAGGUUAUGGAAGAAUAGAUUAAAUGAUUUGGGAGGUCCACAACCUGUACACAUGAUUAAUAUCCCUUGAAUGCAUGAUGAUAGGAGCAGUCACAAUCUCGACAUACAUAAUCUGCUGUUAAAGAACAACAUACACGCAUGCAUGGAGAGGAAUGGAUGCACAAUCCAUCAUUGACCCACAUGUUCUCAUACAAGUCUACGCCUUUGUGAGAGAUGUGCUGCUAUUGAAGAAGCGGUCGCAUCCUUGAGACAGUCCGCACACACGGAAGGAGGGGAAGAGGAUUUGGUCAUUAUUUUCGUGAGAAAAGUAGAGACACAUAUAUCCAAAUGGGGCAUGGUGAAGACGCAUAGGAGUGGAUGAUAAGAGUGAAAGCAAGAGACUUUUUGAGAGGGAAAGGGUGCACAGUUUGGGGUAUGAGAGUGAGAUUAUCAUAUUUAUGGAGAGUGAAUCAGUGCAUGGUUCAAGAGGGAAGAUUGGAGAAAGAAGGAAAAAGGGGAGUCAUCCAUGUUGAAGAAUACCCUGUCCAUUAGGGAUUCGACAUCACAUAUCGUCAAUGGGAGUGGCUUGCAGAAAUCUGGACCACACACCAUUGAAAUUCGGAUCCAUCACGCACCACCAAAAUAAGGAGGAAAUGGGUGGAGGGCUGUUAAUGGUAGAGAAUAACAAGAUUAUUUAUGGAGAAAAUUAUAUUGUACAUAGGCACGUUUGAUGAGUGGUCAGUUUGUUAAUGGUGGAGAGUAUCAGGUUUUUGGAGGAGCAGUAACAUAUUUUAUGUGGAGAAUAAACUACUAGCAAACCAAACUUUCCUCUUAGAAAUUUUAUGGAUGAACACCAUGUACCAGAAUAUUGGAAGGAGAGCACCAUCUCCAUUUUGGGGAAGAACACACCACCGACCUUAGGAAAAAUGGGAGAAAUUCUAGAAGUUUGAUUUUCGUUUCUGUUAGAAAAAAGGAGUUCAUGCUGCAACUGAUGAUUCUCAUGGAAGCAACCUUGUUGCCAUUCUCUGUUGAUCUAAUCAUCAUAUGGAGAGGGAUCACCGACCUUGAGGAGAGAUUUUGGCUACUCUAAAACUGGAAAAAAUGAAGGAGUUAUGGAUUCAUUUGAUUAGAAGAUUAUUACCACACAUGGUUCCUGAAAGGGCGAUUUAGAGAUAGAAUUGGUUAGAGAGAACUGUGGAUAACCAAAGAAAGAGAAGAAACAAAAGAGACAAAGUAGUGGAGAGAGGAAAGCAAGCAAACAAGUAGAAAGAUGGGGGAUUUCGGAUUUGGAGAUGAGAUUAAGAGCUGGAAACCAAGCAUAACAGUGCUUGAAAGGAGUUGUCUAGGUACGAUUACUAAAGCUUCAUGUUAUCCUAUCUUCAUAUUGUUUCUUUCUGGUUUUUGCAUAUUAUUUUGUUGGUUUCUACAUAUUAUUUUGUUGAUUGAAUCUGAAUAUAAAAAACCAUCGUGUUAUUGUUGAGACUGAGAUUGUUUUCAUGCUUCCACUAUUUGGGUUAUGCUCUGGUUCUCAAGUUCACUGAUAACUCAUGAAGUGAAGCUUCACUUGUUGACGCAAUGAUUUAUGUUUAUGUCCUAUUUCUAUGGUUGUUAUUUUUGCUGUGAUUUUCCUCUAUUCCUGUUGACUGUCCAUGGUGCGCGUCAAGUGGUGCAUUUCAACCUAGGGCUGCUCUGAUCUGUUAUUUUAAGAUGAAGUUGCCUAGACUAUCAUCAUUUUUUGAAAAGUGGGAUUCUCAAAGAUGUCCACAAUUGGUACAUAUUAAAAAGGGUUUCCUAAUAGUGACACCCUCUCUGAGUAAAACUUUUAACCAUCAUUGCAACUUUGCAACUUUCACAAGUAAAGGCUGAGAGGCUACCAAUCAUUUAAACAUGUAAACUUCGCCCUUAUUAAUACGGAACAACUCCACCUUUGGUCCUACCCAAUACUCAUCAUCCAAUGUAAUUUUUUCAAUCCAUAAAAUUAGCAACGAUCAUUGAAAUCACAACCAAAACUUCAAAAGAAAAAAGAUAAUAGUAAAAUAUUCAUUUAAUUAUAUUUUGAUGAAUUGUAACCAUUACUCACACUUCCUGGGGCAUCAAUAUUGAUGCAUCUAUACACACUACAUAUUUCAGCAAGUAGUAGUAACAAUUGCGAUUAUAUUUACAAUCAUUGACAUCACAACAUUUGAUGUGUUUUUAACUGCAUAGAAAUCUAAAGAAAAAUUUACAUAGGAUUACAAAGCGGUAAUUGUGCUUCCAAAUCAACAUGUGUGCCAUGAUAAAUCAAAGAGAAAAUGAAUUAAUUUGUGAAAUAUAUAAAUCCUUACUAUUCUCCACCCAAGCCAGCUUCCACAUAAAGUACAAUAGACAGAAACCGCAUCCUCAUGACUCCCUGCAUGUAUAUAUAUAUAACAGAAAAUGGAAAAUGGAAAAUGAUCACGAUAUUAAUCAAUUAAUAUCACAAAUCUUAAUUAAGCAUCAAAUCUUAAUUAUGGAAAAGAAACAAUUAUGGCAAAGAAAUUACUCAAUUAAUUAAGCAUCAAAUCUUAUUUAAAAUCACAAACCAUGUAUAUAUAUAUAACAGAAAAGAAACAAUACCUGAAUAAAAUUGUUGUCAAAAGCAACGUAAUUAUGGCAACGGAUGCAGCGGAAGUCGCAAGAAAGUGGUGGGCAUCCAGAAAGGCUUCAAGAGCACUAAGCAUACGUGCAGUUUCUGGUGGAAGGGCCAUUGGAACUUGGAAUAUCAAAGAUUAACAGCUACUCUUCUUGACGGAUCCUACAAUAUCAUUCAGAAAAAUUAAGAAAAAAAGAAUAAUCUUAAGUUUCCAUAUUGCAACUCUUAUACAAGAGAUUCCGGGUGAGAAAAUACCAGAUAUUUAUGAAGAAGGCUUCAAGGUGAAAGCUCCCAACAACUUAGUUCCUGGUGGGAAGGACAACUAUCACCUUAAUUUUUACCAACAAAGUGAGAGAAACCACAAACAGAGAAAGAAAGAGGGGGAAGGGAAAGUUGGUUAUUUUGUUUUAGAAAAACAGUUAAAUGAGUGUGAACUAUGAGCAAUGAUGAUUAAUUAUAUGCUAAAAUACACCAUUUGCCACAUCAUCAUGUUAGGUUAUGAUUAUAAACUUUGAAUUGUCCAUUAAUUUCCUUCAGAACCAGUUAAAAAAGUGAAGCUUAAUUUAUUUUAUAUAACGGUUUCAUGUUUCUUUUAUUAUUUUCAAUCCUUGUGAAGAAAAUAGGCUUGAUGUAGAUGCUUAAUUGUUAAAUAAUUUAUUUAUUAGGUAGAACGAGAUUUAAAUACACUACAAACCUAGUAUUUCUCAUUAAUCUCCCAAUAAAUUCCCUUUGAAUCUUCAAAUAAAUCAUUUACCAAGAGUUUAAGUAGUCUCAUAUAGAUUAAGGUCGUGUUUGGUUGACUGGAUAUAACAUGGGAUAGGAUAAGAGAGAGGAUAUUAUAUCUUGUCCAAUGUUUAGUUGGUGAUAGGAUAUGAUAAGCUAUCUCAUCACUUAUCCUAUCUUAUAUUCAACUAAACGUAGGAUAGCAUAAGUAGUAGGAUAUAUUAUCCAUCUUUUUUUUCAUCCCUUUCACAUGGGAUAUGUUAAUUUUAUGGUAAAAUAUGGAACAUACAUAUCCCAUUAUCAAAAAUUCAUUUUCUUUUUUAUGCUUUUUUAAUACUCAUUUUAGAAAAUAAAUUUUUAAUUGCAAAUUAAUUUUAUGAUUUAAAAAAAACUAAAAAAAUAUCUAUAAAAUAAUAUUAAUAUAUAAUAUAUAAAUUAUUUUUAUAUAUUAAAUAACAUAAUAUAAAAAAUAAUUAUUUGCAAAAUUUAAAUAUUUUUAUCAUGAAUAUUUUUAAACAUAACAAAAUUUUCAUUUUUUUUAAAUAGAAAAUAUUUAAAUGUGUUAUAAUUUUUAUUUUAAACAUUGAAAAUAAUAUAUAUUUCAUAUUAUUUUUAUUCAUUUCACAAAUUAAAUAUAAAUAUGAUAUAACAUAUCUCAUUAGAUUUCCUAUCUUAAAAUAUUAUGUUCAUAGACUAUGUAUAUCUUAGGAUAUGCAUAUCCUAUCCAAUGGGAUAUGACAUCUCCUAGGAUAUCCUAUCAUAUCAUGUCAACCAAACCUAACCUAAAGGUUUAAUAGUUUAUUUUGUAAUAUUUCUUAAAAAAAUAGUUUUUAAUAGUUCAUAUUUACAUAUUUUUCUCUUUUUCUUCUUAGUUCUCAAAUAUAGAAAACCAUUUUGGGGAAAACAGAAUACUUUAUCAAAAUAUUUUUUAAAAACAAAAACAGCUAAAAACACAUCAAUUCUUUUUUCUAAUUGUAAAGCAACAACUUCCACGUGAAAAGGCAAUCUGAUUAGAAAAAAGAAAUCAACAACUUCCAACUGAAAUUGAGCUUCAGGUUCUUGACCAAGAAACAGAGAGCCAAACAGUUAAGGAUGUGUUAAGAUAUCCGACAAAAAAAAGAAAGGAUUAGUUAAUAUAUUUGUCUUAACAGUCAAUGAUGAACAACGCUCGGAAGAAAUUGCUGAAUGUGAAAUCAACCAUACCCAAGCAAUCAGAUUCUUGAAAGCUACCAAACUUGAAUUUAAUUUUCUGAAGAAAGUGAGCGAAAGUGAGAGGAAGUGAGAGAGAAACAGUCAUGAAUCUUAUAUAGGAAACGAAGCAAAUGAACUUGAAUUGGAUCUCUGCAGAAAGAAAGAAGGUAAAGGGUUAGGAGAAAUCAACUACAACCAAGUUAUCAGAUUCUUGAAAACUGGCAAACUUCAAUUUAAUUUUCUGGAGAAAGUGAGCGAAACUGAGAGAAAGUGAUAAACAGUUAUGAAUCUUAUAGAGGAAACAACGCAAAUGAACUUGUAAUGGAUCUAUACAGAAAGAAAGAACGAAAAAAAAGGAAGAAGGAAAAGGGUUAGGAGAAUUUUACCGGAUUGAUGACAAAAAGGGCCAAGAAAUUGUUGGGUGUGAAAUCAACGACACCCAAGCUAUCAGAUUCUUGAAAGCUACCAAACUAGAAUUUAAUUUUCUAGAGAAAGUGAGCGAAAGUGAGAGACAAACAGUACAACUCCCAAGUGAAAUUGAGUUUCAGAUUCUUGACCAUGAAAGUGAGAAAGAAACAGUCGUGGAUCAUACUUGUCAAUCACAGCUAAUUAACCUGUCCAGGAUAUCAAGAAAAAGAAACACAGGAUUAAAGAAUUUGUACCUGAUAGAUGAUCAAGACCGAGAAAAAAUUGAUGAAUGUGAAAUCAGCAAUUUCUCAUUCGGCAAUUUCUUCUAGGCUCCUUGAUCAUCAAUCAGGUACAAAAUCUGAAUCCAACUCCAACACCGAGAUGAACCAUGCCAACGCCGGACCCUACUCCAACACAAGAUCUCUUUCUUCGUUGUAAUCACUGCCCUCGACCCUUUAUUCACAGCCAAAGUGUUCUGAGUGUGAGAUGAUGAGUUUUGUUGCUAUUGUAGCUAUCUUUAUAAUGUUUCGGCUAUUUUCAUAGUUUUUAUUUAUUUAAUUUUUUUUUUUUAUUAUUUUUUUUUUUUUCUGUCUACAAUGGUGAAGUGAGGUUACAUUUUUUUUUAAAAAUUUAUGAAUUAAUAAUAAUAAUAAUAAUAAUAAUAAACCAUUAGUGAAUUAAUAUACCAUUUGUUAGCACUAACUAAAUAUUUGCCCUUUAAAAAAAAUUAGUAACAAACUCAACUUUUUACCACAAAAAAUAAUAAAAUGGCUUCUUCUUUUUCUUUUUUUUCUAUUAUUUUUUUAUUUUUUAUUUUUUUGGGCAUGUGUUGGAGGACCAAUUCUAAAGAAAAGAAAAAGGUGGUCAGGAACUCUCAGAACUGAUGUAACUUCAAAAUGUAUGGAAAUUGAUUUUAUACUUUUUAUUCCAAUGGAUUGUCCCAAAGCUUAAUUUACACAAAGUUAAAUGGCUUCAAAUCACGUAAGAAAUUCAAUUGAUGGACUAAUUUUUUUUGCUAAGAAAUUAAGAAUCUUGUUAGGAUGCAACAUGAUUCACGUAUGUUUGGUAAUUCUUUUCAAAAAUAGUUUUUCAUUUUUCAUAACAAAAAAUUGGAAAACAAGUUCGAUAAUUAGAAAAUAGAACAAUGUUUUAAGAAAAUAAAGUAUUUUCAGAAAUUAUUUUAAAAACAGUUCUAAAAUAUAAAAAAAAUAUGAUUAAAGAAUAAAGUAUGCAGUAUAAAUAAAAUUUAUUUUCAGAACAUAUUUUAAAAUAUAAAAAAUAAAUUAAGAAUAUUUUAGAUUUUCAAAUAAACUUUUAUUUUAUAAAAGAUUAGAAAACAACUUUUAAAAACGAUUUUUCAAAAAACCAAAUUGUAAGUCGAGAUUAAGUCAAAAUGAUGCAUCAAAGGUCAUACCUAACUUCAAACUAUGAUUUUCUUAAGAACCCUUUAAUGUUAAGUGUUGUACCAAAGUCAAAUUAAAUUCAACUUAAAUCAAUAAGUAUUAAGUUUUAGUAAACCUGCACCCUUUAAUGUUAUAACUUAAAGGUAAAAAUAACUUUAACCAUUAAGUCAAAAUGAUUAACUUAUUUUAAAUAAUCGAUUUCCUUUUGUCCAUAUACACAUCUAAUGAGAAUAUCUUUUAUGUCAAUGCCUCCACCACAUGAUUCAUAUAACUUUUUAACUAAAUAUAUUGUAGUUAUUUUAUGAUUCUACAAGACAUUUAAUAUGAAUGUUUAGCAAAUAAAUUUAUUAUUUAACAAUAAUGAAAGUAAAUAUUAAUGUAAAUUAACAAAGGUAAAUAUUAAUUGAAAUUAAUAAGAAUAAUGUGUUAAUUUGAUGAUUCAAUAAAAAUGUUAACUUUAUUGGAUGACUUUAAUACUUAAAAUAUAAAUUAAAUAAUAAAUUUUAAGUUAACAAUUUAAAAAUAAUUUAGCUUAAAAUAUAAAGUUUUAUCAAAUAUUUUGUAAAUCAAAUAAUAUUUGGACAAUUUUAUGUAUAUGUGAAUAGGAUUGCAACUUGAGUCGGUCCAAUUUGUACCCCUCGUAGGGUUCGAGUUGAAGGAUAAACUUUGAAUAAGUCAAGGUUUGACUUGGGUUGGAAAAAUAUCAAUUUAAAAAUAUUAGGAUAGGUGUGGGUUCAAGAUUCAAGCAAUCUACCAAAACCCAAACCCGCACAUAAUUAUUAAUUAUAAAUUGAAGCAAUUGGAAAGUUAUAUAUACCUUGCCAUUAAAAUUUCUUAAAAUUGCACACACACCUGAGUUCCCAGGGAUCACAAUUUGAUAAUAUAUUGAGUUUUCAGGGGUAAGAAGAUUCAGGGGUAGAUUGACCCAUAUACAUGGAGAUGGAACGUUUGCAUGGUCACAAGCCAAGAGACGAUUAACAGUACCUAUAAUUCCAAAUGAUGGUCUUUUCUUUAGAAAUAGGCACAUGAGCACAUACCAUAUGUCUCAUAUACCACCUCAAUGUUGAUCAAAACUCACUUGAUUAAAAAUAAAUAAAUAAAUAAUCAAAGAAGAAAUUAAAAUCCAUCUAUGACUCCAUGUAUUUAAGCAAAGUCAGAAGAGACCAAAUUUUAAGUCGAAAAGGAAGUCAAAUUUCAAACCAUAUUUUUGUGCGUAAACAGCGGCCACCUAUGACUCCAUGUAUCUUUAAUCGAGCUAUGUUGGGAAACUUUAGAAUUGGGUUUGAAUCCAUUUUAAGUCUUCUAUGUAAUCGACCCUCACUCUCCGUUUUCCUCCUCUCUUUUUUGGAUCACAUGCUGAGAAUGAAAUUACCUUUGAAACGUUCCAUUGAAUUUUGGAAGUCGAAUAAAUAAGAAGGCAUAGUCACAGAAAAUUGCUUCCAAAGUAAUAUCCUCUGCUCCGUAGACCACUCCAUUGAAAUCAACGCUGACCUCUUGAUCUAAAAAUUGGGCUAUAGAUUUUUAUAUUCUUCUAGAGACGAAUACCAUAUUUUUUCAAGAAUUGCAGUCCCUUUCCUAAAAUAUGUGGAGACAAAAAUGAUGAAAAAGAAAAAAAACACAUUAAUUAGAUAUGAAACAAUGAUGCUAAUUUUGGGAUGAGUAGGUAAGGUCGGAGAUGGUUAGACACCAGCAUAAGUCUCAAGACAAGUAAAGCCCAACGAUGCGUGUAUUAUGUGGGAUGAGUCCAACUCCACGGCAAGUUAAGCCUGAAGAAGAAUAUGAUUGAUUGACUGACAUCAAGAUUAAAUUGAUCUUAUUUACAGCAAAUUGGUUUAUAGCUAAUUAAGCCAUUGAUCCCAAUAAGUGAUAUUAAUUACAGCUAGGUCAUGGGUUAGAGUAGCAAGAGCCCCAUGUUGGACAAGGAAAAACCGUAAGGUGACAGAUUUGCUUGAUCGUAAUACAUAUCCUGUUGAUGGGUUUUUAUUAGGUAAAGAGGUGAACCCAGAACCAGUCCAUGCACACACAUCCCUGGACAGAGAGGAGGCAGGUGCGCCUUGAACCUGCAUUUUCCCAAUUUUGUGAUUGAUGUUGCUGUGGCUUCCGCUACUAAGGGUGGCCAUGCUCAAGAUUGAAGCUCGUAGGCUUGUUUUAGGAGUUGGGUUUUUUGCAUCUCAAUGAUCCCUCUCUUCCGUAUCUAUCCAUUUCCUAAUAAGAGUUAGGUAUGUUUGAUAAUUGCUUUUGAAAAUAGUUUUCUAUCUUUUAUAGUAAAAAACCACGAAACAAGUUUGAUAAUUAGAAAACAAAACACAGUUUUAAGAAUACAAACUAUUUAAAAAAAUUAUUUUAAAAAUAAAAUGGUAAAAAUAAAAUUUAUUUUAAGAAUAUAUUUAAAAAUAUAGAAAAUAUAGAAAACAAAUUAAGAACAUUUCAAAUUUUCAAAAAAACUUUUGCUUUAUAAAACGUUUGAAAACCAUUUUUAAAAACUGUUUUGGAAAACCAUUUUUCAGAAUUAUUUUUUAAAACACCUCUUGAAGAAAGCCUUAGUCUUACAAAUUUUUAUUUUGACAUGAAUGUCAAAUUUCUAUUAGGAAUAAACAUAUAUCAAAGCUUUAAUUUUGUGCAACCAAAUUUGACUUAUUCUCUUGCUGCAUGUGGCUAUCACUAUCCAAUUCAUUGAGAUAAAACCAGCCACUAAAUAGAGAUUUUGGGAAUUAUUUUCAAAAUAGGGACAAGUAGAAAUUAAUUCUCCUUGAUAUACUAUAAAUUAGAGAGAUAUUUUAUAAAGUAAUAGAAUACUAAAUUAAAUAGAAGUUAGAUCAAACAAUUGUAAGUCAAGAGAUUAAGUCAAAAUGAUGCAUCAAAGGUCAUACCUACUAUUAAGAAAACCUACUACUGAAAAACAAUUGAAAAACCUAAUACUAGUCGUCUUCAAAAUGUCUUAGCAGUAGGAUGGUAAGGAUUUUGAUUGAAAAACCUACUAUUCCUAGUGUCCGAAAUGCUUGUCUUAUCAGGACAAAUCCACCCUAUGUUGAUAUAUAUAUAUAUAUUCUACUUUCCAAUCAAAGUAAAUCACUGAUUAAUGGACUAUCAGCAGAUGAUAAAUGAAUUUAGAGAAAAUUUAAGGCAUCCUAAAUGUCCAUCGAAAAAGAGUAGUUCCAAGUGUCACAUUGGGGAAUAUAAUUGGGGAAUAUAUGGUGAGAACCUGUCACAUUGGGGAAAAGUAAAGUCUCACGAUCUAGCAUAUACAGUCAAAUACUUCUGGACCCACCCUCUUUCCAUAACAAUCUAUUAAAAAUUGAAACUUAAAAUUAAUUUUCAAAAAUUAGAUUAUCAAUAUUCUACCUAUGUAGAUUUAUCAUAAUAAUAAAUUUUAAUUUAAAUAAUUGAAAUGAAAUAGUGAUAAAUUUAAUGUUUAAAUGAUUAAAAAACAAAUAUAUAACCUAUAAGACAAGUAUAAAAACUAAUUUAAUUAAUUAAUUAAUUAUAAAAAGUAUAAAUAAUAAAGAAAUGUAAAAGAUAAUAAUAAAAUUUGAUAACGAAUUUUUAUUUAUUAUAUAUAUAUAUAUAUAUAUAUAUUAUUAAUAUGAUGAUUUUUCAUUUUUAUUUUUUGAGUUAGGUUUCUUUUUCGAUAUAUAGUUUUUUAUUUUAUUUUAUGUCUUUGUUAUUGUGUUAUCUCAGUUUCAAAAGAAAUGAAAAUUAUUUAUCCCACAACUUCAAAACUAAAAAUAUUAUAUAGAUUUAUUAAUUCCUUACAAAAUACAAGUACAGCCAACAUGCAAGCAAUCAGCAGAUGAUAAAGAAAAUUUAAGGCAUCGAGAGAAAGUCUGUUCUCACGAACAAUGUGAAAAGUCCCACUCUUUCUCACGAAAGCAUAUAUAGUCAAAUACUUCUGGAUCUUUCUCACGAACUAGCAAUACGUCUGGACCCACCCUCUUUGCAUAUCUCCAGCUACACCUGAAAAAGACUUGAAAAGAGCUCCUUAUAUAUAUAUAUAUUUAGACGUUUAAAAGAUCAAUGGCCAUCAGAAAAGAAACAAUCAAAAAAAAUUUCAUGAUUCAAUUAAUUUUCUUCUUUUUAUUUUUGUAUCAUGAAGUGUACAAACUUCACAUGGUUACAGCACACAUUAAGAGCCAAAGUAAUACACAGAAACGCAUAGAACUUGUCCAUGUUAUUCGUUGAACACAAACUCCAUCAAAAGAUGAAAAAUAGAAUACAGUUACUAAAGCUCAAAUGACCUGCAAAUCAGUUUAUUCAGAUGAAAACCACGACAAUAAACUACGUAUACUUGGAGCUGAUGGCUUGUAAAAAUGUCACUUGUGCAUGGUAGCCUUGACAGCCGGAGCGGUGGCAUGUGCUCUUGCAGGAGAUGCAGGUGGAUGUUUGCAAGGAGGGCCUUCAACGGGGGUUUUCCCACAUGGAUUUUGGCCAGAAGGAGGGACAGGACCCCUUUGCUGAACCCUAGCAGCAUUGUGUGGCUGGACACUCAGAAGAAAAACAAGGGCUAUGACAGUAAAAACAACGUUGAGAAACCUCAUGAUAGUCUUGGUGAUGAGGCAAACAGGACAGGAGAUGAACUAAAAAUAAAUUGGAUAUGUAGAUUAUAUGCGUAUGAAGAGGAGAUGGUGUUAGUUGUUAUUUAUAAGCAUGCAUAUCCAAUGUGAUCACUUGAAUUUUUAAUUGUUUGAUUUGUUUGAAGGGUUUGGAUUCUUGACUAAUAGGUUUUGGCACGAGAUGACUGGAAAUUGAAUGGUCAUAAAGGAGAAACUGCCCUUGAAUUACCUGAAUGCAUGGCAAAGUUUAAUUUCUCAUUUCAUUCUUACAUUCACACCAAGGGUUUACUUGAAUUGAUGAUGCUUGAAACUUUGGAGUUUGGUCAUAGUUCUGGAUGUUAAACUACUUUUUCUCACAACAUAUGGUCCUUGUUAUGAUGGAGGAAGCUUUCAUGUAAACAUCCUUAAUCAAGAAUACAAAGAUAAAAUAAUUAACACAAACGAUACAUGAGGUUUUAAUGUAGUUCGGCCAACCAUGCCCAUGUUUACAGAUGAGAGAAUUAUUUCACUAUAAAAUAAAGAACAUUACAGAGGACAUAACCAGAUACAAUUAUUGGGUUCCCAAAACAUCCCAUGUUUCUCCACUCUUCAUAUCCCUACCCUAUCACGAGUCUUCUUGCUCCACCGAGUACCUCCCAUUCUUCCUCACACCUCUAUUCACCUCAUAUAGUCUUUACAGUCUCAUCUUCAUCUCAUAAUUUUUUCUCCUUGCGACUUAGAAUAUUUAUAGAGAUAUUUCCAACAACCUUCCUUAUUCUAUUAGGAAGUCUAAUAUUACAAUAAUAUAUCAAUCCAAAAAUAUUCAAUAUAAUAUUUGUUACAAAAAAGAAAUCUAUACUAAUUAGAAAUUUGGGACACUUCUUAACAAUCUCCACUUUAGACCAAAUUCCAUGAAGUCAAUCUUCAAACUCUCCAUGACAUGGACUUUUUUGUAUUAUAUCACUACGAGAGAGCAAUCGACUCUACCUUCAUUGAAAAAUUCCUUUUGCCUUCAUCUUGUGUGCUUCGUGAUUUUUUAAUCUUCCAUAAAUCUUCAACCCAAUAUCUUAUACCAAUUUAUUAUGACAACGAAAGCUUUCAUGCAAACAUCGUUACUCAAGAACACAAACAUAAAACAAUAACACAUAUGAUACAUGAGUUUUUAAUAUAGUUCGACCAAGCAUGCUUAAGUCAACGGAUGAGAGAAAAUCAUUCCACUAUACAAUAAAAAACAUUACUAAGGACAGAAUCAGAACAUUACAAAGGACAUUACCAGAUACAAUUAUUGGCUUCUCAAAACAUCCCAUGUUUCUCUACUCUUCGUAUCCCUACCUUAUCAUGAGCUUCUCACUCCAUCGGGCAACUCUCGUUCUUCCUCAUAUUUUUAUUCACCUCGUAUAGUCUUUAUAGGCCCAUCUUCAUCUCAUAACUUUUUCUCCUCAUGACUUAUAAUAUUUAUAGAGAUAUUUCCAACAACCUUCCUUAUUCUAUAAGGAAGUCUAAUAUUACAAUAAUAUAUCAACCUAAAAAUAUUCUACAUAAUAUUCUCUACAAAAAAAAAAAGAAUCUAUACUAAUUAGGAAUUUGGGGACACUUCCUAACACUCCUAAUAAGAAUUGAUCAAUUCUAUGGACAUGAUUCCACUCAGAUGCACCAGCUUUAAUUUCCAUCAUCAAGACCUAAGCCACAAUGCUUGCCCUUUCAAAAUGGGCCAUCAUCUGGGUGUGUAUCUACAUAUACAUUCCAUUUUCACACCACCACAAAGCUUGUUUAUGAUUUUGUUUUCUUUUGUUCAAAUCUCUUGAGAAAAUGCAAGAAAAAUGUGUAUAAAACUUUUCUCCCUUUUUCCCCAAAGUCGCACGAUACAAGAGAUAAUUAGAUUGGUUGGAUGAUGGGUUUUGAUCAAUAUAUGUAUAUACAUUGACCAAGGGUGAAACUCAUAACACAUCAAACUAGGUCUACUAACAUGCAUGCUAAAUUAUCAAUAAAGUUCAAAAUAUUAAGUUGUAAUAAAUUUAUGCACCAAUGAUGAAUAUCAAGAUGCAUGAUCUAUACUCAUUAUUUUCAACAUACACAUGAAUUUAAAUUUUUUUAUUUUAUAUUAUUUAAAUAAAUAAAAAAAGCAUUCUAGCUAAAAGCUAAUCAUACAACACAAACAAUGCAAUAAGUGAGCAUUAAUUUGGCUCACGUUGUUGUGUUAUACACACACAAAUACCCAUGUUACAAGAUGAUAAGUUUGCCAUUACUAUUCAAAUAUUCCAAGUUUGAUAUAGCAAACACCAGGUAGAUUUUGUUUGACUUGGAUCAACAAUACGCAUGGUUUACAAAAAUUUCCUAUGCUCCUUGGACUUUCUACUCAUUUCUUGACUUUUCUUUGAGGACAAAUCAUAGUAACUAGCUUUUUUAAUCUAAACCUCUAAAAAUGAGUAUGAUUCAUAUAGAUUAGCAUGUCUAUUCGACUUGCAUCGGCAAAUAUUUGGUUUAUGAACAUUUGGAGAUGUUAAAAUGUAUAGUAUCUGUUGUGCCAGUGGAAGCUUUAUGCAAAUAAUGUUAGUUCAAGAACAUAAAAAUAAAAGAAUCCUCACAAGAUUACAUGAGAUUUUAACAGAAUUUGAAUAAUCAUGCAUUGAUCCUUAGCCCCUUGACAUUAAAACUAUCACAUCCUUACAAGGUCAAAAGAUUUGGGUUAGUAUGGGCCUCUCAACAGCCCAAUUGCUUUGAUUUCUUCUUCCCAUAUAUCCAUAAAAUAUAGAAUGAAAAUAUAGAAAAAAUAUAUAUGCAAAGACAACAAAAUCUGUUCAACCCAAAAGAAAAAAGAAAAAAGAAGACCUGCAUGCUUUAAAAUUUGAUUCACAAAUUUGAAAAGUUCAAUUACAGGGCAAAUCCAUUCUAUGAUAAUGUAUUCUACUUUCUAAUAAAAGUAAAUCACUAAUUAAUAGACUGUUGAGUUUCAGCCAUGCAAAAGAUCAUGAAGCAAAAAUUUGUUCAUGAUUCAACUUUCUUCUUUUUAUGUAUAUAUCAUGAAGUGUACAAACUUCACAUUGUUACAACACACAUCAAGAGCGAAAUUAAUACACAGAAUGCAUAGAACUUGUCUACGUUAUUCGUUUAAUAUAAACGUCAUCAAAAGAUGAAAACAGAAUAUAGAUACUAAAUCUAAAAUGACCUGCAAAUCAGUUUAUUCAGAUGACAAACACGACAAUGAACUAUGUAUACUGGGAUCUGAUGGCCUGUAAAAAUGUCACUUGUGCAUGGUAACCUUGACAGCCGGAGCGGUGGCAUGUGCUCUUGCAGGAGUUGCAGGCGGGUGUUUGCAAGGAGGGCCUCCAACGGGGGCUUUCUCACAUGGAUUUGGGUUAGAAGGAGUGACCGGUCCCAUCUGCUGAGGACUUUCUGAAAGACCACGUCUUUUCUCUAUCAAGUACUCACGGUUCACUCCUUCAAGAACCCUAGUAGCAUUGUGUGGUUGAACACUCAGAAGAAAUGCAAGUGCUAUGACACUCAAAACAACGUUGAGAAACCUCAUGAUAGUCUUGGUGGUGAGGCAAACAGGCUAGGAGAUGUAAUCGAUUUGAUAUGUGGAUGAUAUGCAUAUGUAGAGGAGAUGGUGUUAUUCGUUAUUUAUAUGCAUGCAUAUCCAAUGGUAUCACUUGGACUUUACAUUAUUUGAUUUGUUUGAAGGGUUUGAUUCUUGACUAUAAGGUUUUGCCACGAGGUGACCAGAAAUUGAAUGGUCAUAAAGGAGAAACUGUCUUUGAAUUACCUGAAUGGCAAAGUUUAAUUUAUCAUUUCAUUUUACAUUCACACCAAGGGACGACAGUUGUUUAAUGGAGGCUUGCGUUUUGAGAUUACUGUACUACAGUGGCCAAUCUGCGGAUCGUGGUUUGCACAGUACCGUGUUUUUUAUUAUACCAUUAUUUUGUUCCUAUCUGGAACAAAGUAUAAAGUUUUGAUAGGGACGUGUUUACUUGAAUUGAGGCUUGAAAUUUUGGGAAUUGGUCAGAGAGUUUUGGAUGUUAAGCUGCUUUUUCUCGUAACAUACACUGCUAAUAAAGAAUUGAUCAACUCUUUGCAGAUCAUUCGGCUCGAAUGCACCGACCUUUCCAUUAUCAUCAAGACCUAAGACGCAGUGCGUGUCCAUUCAAAAUGGGGCAUCAUCCGGGGUGUAUAUGCAUAUGCAUACCAUUUCCACACCACCACAAAGCUUGUUUAUGAUCUUGUUUUCUUCUGUUCAAAUCUCUUGAGAAAAUGCAAGAAAAAUCCAUAUAAAACUUUUCUCCCUUUUUCCCCAAAGGCACAUGAUAAAAGUGUUAAUUGGGUUGGUUAAGUGAUGGGUUCUCAAUAUAUGUACAUACAUAUGGUUCAACAUCAUAGUCUCGGUCAUUAACUUACGAGGUCUUGAGGCACAUCGGUGUUGGUAUCUCUGAUUAGUAUCGGAUGACAGACAAAAUGUAUAUAAUUAAAUGUACUUUUUAUAAAAUUUUAAGUUUAAUUAAAUUUAAUAUUAUUUAAAUACACAUAAAAAUAUGUUUAUUAUUUUUUAAUAUUAAAAGUCUUUUAUUUAAUAUCUUUAUAUUAAAUUUAUUUAAUAAUACAAAUUUUCAAUUGUUAAUAUUGAUACAAGUAAUUAUUAAUUUUUUUAGUAAUAUGUUAUUUAAUCAAAUUUAAUUUAUACAUCUAUUAAAUAAGUUAGUAAUUUUUUAAAAUAUAAUUAAAUUAAAUUGUUAUAAUUUAUAUUUACAUUUCAAUUUAUUUCAUUAUAUUCAUUGCCCAUGAUAUAAAUACUACUAUAUUCAUUACCCAUUUUAUAAAUACCCUAACACACAUUGGUAAACACAUUACCUCAUUACCCAAGACCCAUUUCUUCAUCCUCCCCUUCCUCUUCUUCUCUUUCAAACCUUUUUUAUUUUCCUUUAUUUGCAACUGAGUGAAUGGGAAUAAAGCCAUCGUCCCAGUCCUCUUCUUCUCUUUCAAACCAUUUUUUUUUCUUUAUUCUCUUUCAAACCCAUUUUUUUUCCAACUAGGUGAAUGAGAAUAAAACCAUUCUCCUCGUACUCUUCUUCUUUGUCAAACCUUUUUUUUCUUUCUUUGCAAUUAGGUGAAUGAUAAUAAAACAAUCUGCAAUUGAUUCUCCUUAAGGCUCAAUUUCUAGGCUGCUUCUCAUUUCAAAUUGAUCUAGACCAUCUUCGAGUCAAACUCAAAUAUCGGUUUCGUAGUAGGCUUGCCUAUGGCGGAUACGCCUUGGCUAAGUCAUAUUUGUCUCGUUCAAUACUUUGGAACUUUGUAUAUGCCUUAAUCGAGGGUGAAAUUCAUGACAUAUAAAACUAGGUCUACUAACAUGCAUGUUAAAUUAUCAAUAAUGUGCAAAAUAUUAAUUUGUUAAUUUAUGCACCAAUGAUAAAUAUCAAGAUGCAUGAUCUAUACUCAAAGUAAUCAAAGACCAAGGAAGGUACAUAGUAAUUUUUUAUAUGGAAAACCCUCACAUUAAUUGUGGAGACAAAAAAAACCAUGAGGCUUAAGACCUCUAAUCUACAAUUCACUAUUUGAGAUCAAAGUACACAAAUUUACCUGACCGUUUUACCCUAAGGACUUACUCUUCAACACCUAUACUUUGAUUCACAUCUACGAUAUGCGUAUGUAAUCACUUGGAUUACAAGUAAUUAUUUUUUUUUAGUAAUAUGUUAUCUAAUAAAUUUUAAUUUAUACAUCUUAUUUAAUUGUAUUAAAAAAAGUUAAUAAUUUAUUUAAAAUAUAAUUAAAUUAAAAUUUUAUAAUUUAUAUUUACAAUUCUAUUUAUUUCAUUAUAUUCAUUACCCAUGAUAUAAAUACCACUAUAUUCAUUUCCCAUUUUAUAAAUACCCUAUCACCCAUGGAUAAAUCCAUUAGCUUAUUACCCAAGACCCAUUUCUUCAUCCUCACUGUCCUCUUCUUCUCUUUCAAACCCUUUUUUUUUUUCUUUCUUUGCAAUAGGAUGAAUGGGAAUAAAACCAUCCUCCACAUCCUCUUCUUCUUGUUCAAACCCAUUUUUUUAUCCAAUUAGAUGAAUGAGGAUAAAAUCAUCCUCCCCAUCCUCUUCUUCUCAGUCAAACCUUUUUUUUCUUUCUCUACAAAUAGGUGAAUGAAAUUAAAACCAUUUGUGAUUGAUUCUCCUCAACUCAAGUUCUAGGUUGCUUCUCAUUUUGAAUCGAUUCACACCAUCUUCGAGUCAAACUCAAAUAUCGAUUUCAUAGGGGGCUUGCCCAAGGCGGAUACGACUUGGCUGAGUUGUACUUGUCUCAGCCAAUACUUUGGACCUUGUAUAUACCUUAACCGAGGGUGAAAUUCAUAGCUUAUAAAACUAGGUCUACUAACAUGCACGUUAAAUUAUCAAUAAAGUUCAAAAUAAUAAAUUGUUAAUUUAUGCACCAAUGGUGAAUAUCAAGAUACAUGAUCCAUACUCAAACUAAUCAAAUAUCAAGAUACACAGUAAUUUUUUAUGUGGAAAACUCUCAAAUUAAUUAUGGUGAUAAAAAACCAUGGGGCUUAAGACCUCUAAUUUACAAUUCACUAUUUGAGAUUAAAUUAAGUACACAAAUUUACAUGAUCGUUUUACUCUAAAGACUUACUAUUUAGCACCUAUACUUCGAUCCACAUAUGCAAUGUAGUACCUCCAAUACUUCAGUGGAUUCCUCUCAACUUUUAAGGGGAUACAAAUCCUUCUAACAAAACCUAGAAUUCAAUCUUGUAAAUUCUUUCUUGAGAAAUUGGGAAUAAUAGGGCAAGUUGGUUGAUUCUGAAAGUGUCCAACCCAAAAACAUAUUUAGGUAAGGUAUAUGCCUAUGACCCUAGAGAGUUAGAAACAAAAUUUUCUUAAAAAGUAAAAUGUCAACUUUCCAAAAAUUAAUUAACAAAAGAAUUUAAUUUAAAAAAAUUAUCAACUUUAUAAAAAUUAAUUAAAAAUAAAAUAUCAACUUCCCAAAAAUUAUUAAAAAUAAUUUUCUAAAAAAAGAAAAAAAAACGCCGACUUUCUAAAAAUUAAUUAAAAAUAAAAUCUCAAAGUUGCCAAUAAUUAAAGAAGACAUUUUAAUUCAAUUUUAAAACUUCCAAAAAAAUUAAUUUGCCUUUAACAAAAUCUUUCAAACUUAUUUGUGACUACCCGGUUGAACACACAAUAGCCUUGAAUCUUUAAUAGAGGGUAAGUUAUUAUCUAAAAUGAUUUCUAAUCCAUAAUGAAAAUAAAUAAAAUUGUCAAUACAUAAAAAUGUCCUAAUACCAUGAGAAACAAAAAUGACGAAAAAGGAAACAACAUAUUUAUUAGGUAUGCAAUAAUGCUUCUAAUUUUGGGAUGAGUAUGUAAGAUCAGAGAUCUAUGAUAAGUAGUAGGAUGAAUACGAAUGGAUGACAUCAAGCCACAUAAAGAGAAUUAACUUAAUCUCACUGAUAGUUAAUUGGUUUUAAAAUGAGAUGGUUAAGUUUUUUUAUUAUAACAAGUAGUAUUGGAGCUAUGUUUUAAGGUUGGAGUUGCAAAAGCCUCAUGUUGGAGGAAGGGUUAUUAGGUAUGCAACAAUGCUGCUCCAUGAAAAAAAUCACCUUGGGAUGAGUGUUUAAUGCUAGAGAUGGUUACACACCACUAUAAGCCUCGAAAUAAGUAUAGUCAAUUGGUUUUUUUUAUGAGAUAACUCUACGAUCCUAACAAGAUUUUAAUUUCAUAGAUAUUUUUAUAAAGGAAUUUAUAAAUGGCAUAACCAUUUCAAGAAACUCACUGAAGUGGACAAUUGAAAUUUAAGUAUAGACCUUCCAUUUUGCCUUCCUAGCACAUGUCCUAUUAGGUUUUUGUUUGGUAUUUUAUAGCAAUUCCCUGAUGACCCAUUACUACUCAUGUAACUUAUCUUUUCUAAGCCACCUUCGAGACUUUGGUUGAGAGGGUUUAUCCAGCUCCUCGUUAUGACCUUAGUUGCCCUUUGAGUUUAGAUUAGGCUUCACUUAGGUGCACUUUAGGUUAACACUCAUUGGGCCCACCUAGGUCACUUAGACUCACUUAGCACACUCGACCCAUUAGGCACCACGUUAGGCCCAUCUGGGUUCACUUAAACCCAUUUAGACACCUUAGGCUUGUCUAGCACUUAGGCUCACUUAGCGCACUCAACCCAUUAGGCACCGCCUAGAUUCACUUAGGCCCAUUUAGGUAUGCUUGGCCCAUUAGGCACCGCUUUAGGUCCACCUAGGUAUACUUGGCCAAUGAGGCACCGCCUUAGGCACACCUAGAUCACUUGGGUCACCUAGGCACACUUGGCCCAUUAGACAUUCUUAGUGUGACUUGUAUGACUCACAUGGUUGCAUGGUUUGCAUGACUCAUGUUUCUUAUUUACUUAUUUAUAUAUUUAUUUAUUUAUAUUAUUAUUAUCAAUCACUUUUAUUUAUUCAUUUAUUUUAUUUAUUUAUUUUUAUUAGUAUCAAUCACUUUUAUUUAUUUAGUUAUUUAUUAUUAUUAUUAUUUAUUUAUUUAUUAUCUUGCUAUAACUAUUAUUAUUUUAUCAUUCUCUAAAUUUUUUAUUCAUUUAUUUGAUUUAAUAAUUUGAUAUAUUUUUUUAGGGAAAUCAACGGAUAAGAAGAGUUGAUUCUUGUAAGACUUUGAGAAGGAAGGAAACUCUUUUGGACAUUAUUGAAGAUCACCGGAAAGUUAAAAUAGGGACAUUAUGAUCUUGUUUUCUUCUGUUCAAAUCUCUUGAUAAAAUGUUAAAAAAAUGCAUAUAAUGCUUUUCUUCUGUUUAUCCUGCUAUCCUCCUUGAGCCUGUAAUUAAUUUUCAAAUUGAGUGUUUAGGUUUUGGAAAAUCUUAUGACUAAGAGCAUAACAUUGAGUGACAGUGAAAAAUUUUCUAUUAAAAGAGUUCAUUCAAUUUUGUACUCAUCUCUUUUUCUGAUUCUAUAUUUGUUGGAGUAAAAUCCAAUAUUGUUCUUAAUUAGGCAUCAAGAAGUUAAGAUUGUUCUAAAAAGGUGGUUUCAAAGAGUUUCCAUGUGAAAGUAUGUAGCCGAAGAUUGGGAAGUGUGAAUUGGGAAUGAUAAAAUUAAUUUGCUGAGUCAUCUCCAUACUUAAAAUACACCUAUUGUUCACCCUCAAGGUCAUGGUUGAAAGUAUCAUACGCAAGUACAUGGCUGCUACAACUCUAAGAUAUAUGAGUCAGUGGUGUACAUGCAUUUCAAUAAUAACUAGGUUCCGACUAGAAAAUAAUUGGCCUUACAUAACCAAAUCAUAAGAUAAGUUGGAAUUAGGUCUCCACAACUCGAAGCUAUAAAAAUGGAAGGAAAAAAAACAAAAUAAUCUCUACAUUUUUCAGAGAUUUCCUUAUCAAUCAAGGAAAAAUGUCUCCAUAAUUAGUAACUAGUAAGGACGUUAAAUUGAUUUUUUUAAAAUUAAUAAUUCACUUGUUAUCCCAAUUAUAAAAAAAUUGGUAUUACCCAUAAAAAUAGGUGGCCAUGGUAAUAUUUUAAGAUUUUUUCAAUUUUUAAAAUUAUUAUAAAUUAAUUGAAAAUAACUUCAAAUGUUAUAGAUUUUAUUUUAUUUUUAUUAUUUUUUUGAACUCAUCUAAUUAUAAUUAUUAAAUUUUUCCUUAUUUUUUCAGAAUUUUUUUAACUUUUUUAUUCUCAACUAUUAUAUUGUCUACAUAUUUUUUAAUUAAGAUAAUGUGCAUGCCAUGCUAAAUGCUUAAUGAAGCACGCAUCAAAGUCUCAAAAGGCAAAAAUUGAUAAAUCGAACUAACAAGUGUUGAGCAUUCAACAAACCAAAGAGAUCCCAAGAGCUACUAAAAUCAAGGACAGCUCAUCAAAGCAAAAUAUUAAGCAUAAUUCAUCAUCUUCUGAGCAAAAGAUAAUUAUUGUAAAGAAAAUGCUAAGGUAUUGCAUUAAUACCUAUCGAAGUUCACAUUUGGGCCAUUGAAUAUGUAUGAUGAAAUUUAAACUGCUAAAUCAGGGAACAAGUAAAUGAGACCUAACUAUAAGGGUGCAAACAAAUAAGACUAUAUUACAAAAAAUGAGACUUAUAUAUGUAUAUAUGACUAUGCCUAAUUCAUGGUGCCUUUUUGAUAUCUAACAAAAAAGUAUCAUUUUGUAUUGUCUAUGAUCCUUAUUAUAAAAGUUUAUUUGACUAUCAUAAGAGUGUUUAGUACCUCAUCCAAAAAUUCUUUGUAGUCCAUUGAAUGAUGGUACAAGUAAAUGAGACCAAAGGAUAAAGAUACAAACAAAUGAAACUAUGUUACAAAUAAUGAGACUUGUGUAUACAUGACACCACCUGAUUAGUGAUACUUUUUCUAUACUUACCGAAUGAAGUAUCAUUCCAUAUUCUCAAUGACCUUUACUAUAAAAGUGGGUUUGACCAUCAUAUCAGAGUAUUCAAUACCUCAUCCACAAACCCUUUGUAGCCUAUACAGUGAGAGCAUGUAUUUACACCUUGAACUACGAGCUCUCUCGCUCCACUGAGUGUCUCCCAUUCUCUCUCAUCCCUAUCCAUCAUGUAUAAUCUUUACAAGCCCAUCUCCAUCUAUAACUUUUUCCCCUUAUAACCUAGAAUAUUUAUAGAGAUAUUCUUUUCCUUAUUCUAUUAGGAAAUCCAAUAUUACAAUAAAAAAAUCAAUUUAGGAAAUAUUAUAUACAAUGUUCUAUACAAAAAGGAAUCUAUACUAAUUAAAAAUUUGAAACACUUUUUAACAAUCUCCGUCUUGGCUCAAAUUCCAUUAAAUCAAUCUUCCAUCUUUCCAUGACACACUUUUUGUAUCACAUUUGAUGAAAUAACAAUCGACUUUACCUUCAAUUAAAAUUCCUUGUCAUACUCUUGUGUGUUUUGUUAUCUUUUACUCUUCUAAAAAUCUUCAUUGUGAGCUCUAGCUAAUACCAGUUUGUUGUGUAAGUGGAAGCUCUAAUGCAAACAAUGUUAGUUCAAAAACACAAAGAUAAACAAUCCACACAAAGAUACACAGGGUUUUAAUGUGGUUCGACCAACACAACCUAAUUCAUGGAUGAGAGAAAAGUAUUACACUACAUUAUAGAGAAUAUUAUAGAAAAUGUAAAUAGAUACACUGUUGGUUUCACGAAACAUCUCAUGUUUCCCCACUUCUUAUAUAAAACCUUGAACCAUAGGCUCCUUGCUCCUGUGAAUGUUUUUCAUUCUUCCUCACAUCUCUAUCCACCUCAUAUAGUCUGUACGAGUCCUUCUCCAUUUCAUAACCUUUUCUUCUCAUGACCUAUAAUAUAUAUAGAGAUAUUCUUAAUAACUUUUCUUAUUCUAUAAGGAAAUCUAAUAUUAUAAUAAGAAGUCAAUUUUAAAAAUAUUCUAUAUAAUAAUCUUUACAAAAAGGAAUCUAUAUUAGGAAUUUGGGAUACUUUCCAACAAAAAUAAUUUGAGGACACAAUAAACAAAAAAAACAACUAGUCUAGUAGUUGCCAUUUGCAUCCCCUUCUAGUGGGAUCUAGUCAUGUUAGCCAGUAAGAUGGGAUGGAACAAGCCACAAAGGUGGACAUAGGUGGGCCCAUACCCAAGGAAAAAGAUAGGUUUUCAACUAAAAAGACCAGUAUGAUUCCUAAAAAACUUACCGGUCCACCAGUUUAGACAAUUCAAUCGACGGUUCAUGUGAGUUUGCCCUAAUUCAAUGCCUAGAACAAUCUGCUUUUAAAAAUCAUGCCUUUAAGAUAAAAUUUUGAUAUUCCCAAAAAUCGGAUAACCUAGAGACUUAUAUUUAUUGUAAAUAUAGGUUGGUCUAAGCCUCACAGUUGUAUCAAAAAACGAGACGACCCACAACUCUAUUGGGUUGAAUGAAUGAAUUGCAUAUCUUUAAAGCCAAUAGACAAUAAAUUUUUCAUGCAUUUCAUGGUUGCAAAUUAUAUAUGUCACAAUUGAUGAUAUUUAUCCUUAAAUUAUAUUGUAUAAAAAUCAUCUUGAUAAUAGAGAUUAUAAACAAUGAGAUAUGAUUUCUAAUUUCUUUAUAAUCUUAAAAUAUGUUUACAACUUAUAAGCUUGUAAUGGAUAACAUGCUUAUUAAAAGCUAUAAUGAAGUGUACUACUAUAUAUGAUAGAGUGAUGGAUCUUAUUCACUAAAGUUGAGGGGCUCUUAAUAAAUUUCAUGGGUGAUUAUAAUGUGAUGAUCACAAAACUGUACCAUUACAAGACAAUUUUUGGACCUCUUAUUAUUUAUUUUGUUUAAUAUUACAUAAAAUCCUUAGACUUAAGGAUGUUACUAAGUUUUGUACUUGAUUUUGUAUAGCUUUGAUAUUAUCAACUGUUGAUGUCUAAUAAUGGAUUAUAUACGAAUUUGUUGGGUUUUAUAAAUAAUAUAUAAAAACUAGUGGAUAUUUGAUAAAGGACCCAUUGCUUCUAUAGUAGGAAAGAAUAUUUAAGAUUGUGUCACUCAUAAAUUGUUUUAAAAUACCGACCAGUCAAUUUAGAAAGAUUUUUUUUUAAGUGUAUAUAUCUAUUUAGUAUAUAUGUCAUAUAUUAAGAUUUUCUAAAUUGGUUUUUCUAAAAGGUCCAAUUGUAAGAGGUGACACACUUAUAAGUUUAGGGAAUGACAAUUAUCUUGAUCCAACUUCAAAACUUGUAAGGAAUAUUAGUUAGUGGAAGAAUUAAUGUGUAAGUGAGGAACUUACUAAUCUAUCUCUCUUUUUUUUUUUGGGUGAAAUUGUAAUUUGUUUUAAAUAUGAUUGCAAUUGACAAGUUCAUUUGGAAUAAACUUACUAGAGAUGUAGAGAUCCCACAAAGGCCCUAUGCUACGUGAGGGGCUCUCUUUAAUAGAAUAUAUAAUUUCUUGCUACGGAGCCCGCAAGGGGGUUGUAGAUAUUGCUGUACGAACAUAUGUUGGAUAUCUCACGCAUAGACUUGUUGAAGUAGUUCAACACAUUGUUGUACUUAGAACAGAUUGUGGCACUAUCCGAGGUAUUUUUGUGAGUCCUCGAAAUGGGAUGAUACCGAAAAGAAUUUUUAUUCAAACAUUAAUUGGUCGUGUAUUAGCAGAUGAUAUAUAUAUGGGCCCACGAUGCAUCGCCAUUCGAAAUCAAGAUAUUGGGAUUGGGCUUGUCAAUCGAUUCAUAACCUUUCAAGCACAUACAAUAUCGAUUCGAACCCCCUUUACUUGUAAGAGCACAUCUUGGAUCUGUCGACUAUGUUAUGGUCGGAGUCCUACUCAUGGCAACCUGGUCGAAUUGGGAGAAGCUGUAGGUAUUAUUGCGGGGCAAUCUAUUGGAGAACCGGGUACUCAACUAACAUUAAGAACUUUUCAUACCAGCGGAGUAUUCAUUGGGGGUAUAGGUAUUCGUGCUUGGAUGGCAACUCAAGAUCAGCCUCAUGAAAACCUUAUAUUCCCUGAGAAGGUUCUACCCCGUGGAAACGCUCUUUAAUGGAACUUUAGCUUUAGCUGGUCGUGACCAAGAAACCACCAGUUUCGCUUGGUGGG
rnacentral:lncRNA from 1 species